UCGGAGCCUAGGCAUCAUCUCCAUCCACCAUUCUUUGGUCCUUCCCUUUAAAGACGAACCAAGGACACUAAGACCCAACGGAAGAUUACCGGCAAGCUUCGCAACUUCAAAUGCUAGUUCCUUAAAAUCAUCAGGUGGAGAGUCUUUCCCAAAAGCAGAUCGGCAUAACAUCGUAAGAGCAAGAUGUUCAGAUGGGAACUCCACCUCAUAUAUAAGGUCAAUCUCAUGAGCCUUGAGAAGUUGCCUAUCUUGAGUGAUCACAAUUAUUCUGCUUCCAGAUCCAAACCAUUCAGCUUUUCCCACCAAGGUCUUAAGAAACUCUAGACUAUCCACAUCAUCAAGAAGGAUAAGAACUUUCUGUUGCUUUAACCUUUGCUCCACCACACCAAAAUGCUCUAUCUUUAUGUCCUUUUGACCUAAGAUUUCCGAGAGAAGUUCUUUUUCCCACCUCAACUUCAUGCCAGAGACGUCACUACCGCUGGUGCUUUUAUAUGUUAUGAAAGCGCGAUGGUGGAACUGGAUAGAGAGUUUACUGUAAAGAGCUCUUCCUAUGGUACUCUUACCAAUCCCUGAUUGUCCCCAAAUCCCGACCAUUAUUCUAGCUUCCUUGGAUUCCAAGCACAAUACUGAUUUUAUUGCCUCUAUAUGAUUUUCAAUUCCGACUAAGUCGCCAAAAUCAUCCGAUGGUGUCAUAGUUUUUCUCAAAACAUCCUCGGCAAGCUCUUCAAUCAUGGCUGCUUCACUAGGCCUAAUAACAAUAGUCAACUGUUUCAUUAAAGAAGCAACGCAAAACAAAAAAAUCACGAAGUCUAUUCAUUGAAAUACCAUUUCCGAAGAUCAUAUCCGGCCAUAACUGCAACAGCUGCUAGAGCUUGCUUCCAACUUUGUUUCUCAUCCUCUGAUUUAGCCUUGCAUGUCUCUUCAAAGACCUUUCCAAAUUCGCCGGUCUGUUUUUUAACUUCCGAAGCAUCAACGUGGAAGAAAAUCGGAAUCACCAUUUGAUUCAAAUUCGUAUAACACUUGUGAAUCUCCACCAAUUCAUUCAGGCACCAGGUGGAUGAAGCAUAGUUCUUAGAGAAGAUAACGAUUGCUAUUCUCGAUUCUUUUAUUGCCGAUAAAAGCUCCGGGCCGAUUGAGCGGCUCCUCUCGAUCUCAUCAUCUAUGAAUGUGAUUGCUUUGCCCCUGAGCUCCUUGAGAAGAUGGCUGAGGAAUGAGUCACGGACAUCUUCUCCACGAAAGCUUGGGAAAACGUCGUAUCUCCGGCUGCCAGAAGAAGAAGCUAUCUCCAUAUCAUCAUCUUUGGAUGUAUCCAUCAUUUCACGGUCGAGCUCGAGCUCCUUGACAAGAUGGCCACGAAACAAUUUGCCGAAAUUUUCUCCACUGAAGCUCGCGAAAACAUUGUAUAUCCAUCUGAGAACAUUGUAUAUCUAUCUGAAGCAAGAAGACGCCAUGGCAGAGGAUGAGAGAGAAGAGACGAAAUUUCUCAAAGGAAAACUCUUUGAAGUAUAUCAAUAAUACAACACAGUAACAGAGAGGAGAAACUUGGUCUUCCUUUCCUCGAAGACUUGUAUAGAAGACUUACUAUACAAGAUAUUGUUUUAGUGGUUAAAAUCAAAUCCCAUUACAAGACAAUUGGGACAAAUAAUACGUAAACUUGGUCUUCCUUUCUUAGAAGACUUGCAUAGAAGACUUACUGUACAAGAUAUUUUUUUAGUGGUUGAAAAAUCAAAUCCCUAACAAGAUAAGGCCAUAAUUAUGUGAUACAGAAACUUCCCCUUCCUUUCCUUGGAAAGCUUCUACUCUAUAACGAUAAGUCAAUUUUGUGGCUAUCAGUCGUCACUGAAUUUAUCUAUGAUGAUGAGACGUAGCCAUUCUACAAGAUUUCAAGAUAAUUUCUAGGCAAAAUAGACAGAAACUUCCUCGAGAGCUACUUUUCCUCUCCACAGAUAUUUUUGAAGACCCAAAAUUUUGUGGCUGUCAGUGGUUCAAGACAGAAACAAGAUUUCAAUUUAUUUUAACAAUGUUAAGGUUCACUAAUAUCAAAAGUCUGGUUUUCCUAUUCAUACUGUACAUACAUGCAUGGAAAUUAGGAGAAUAAUUAGUAUAUCGAUUAUGAGGAUUAUAAUUCAACUAAUAAUACAGUGAAAACACUAACAACAAACUAUCUAGUUUUCUAGAGCUGUGUGGUGUGGACAGUGGAGAGAAUAUUUUCAUGUAAAGUUUUCUUGUUUACAUUUACAAUUGUAAUAUUAGUUUAGAGUUUUGGCUUACUGUGUCAGCAACCACUGUAGGCUGCGAUUGCAUUUGCUGCCGUUUAAGGAGCAUUUGGUUUCUAAGGGUAGGUUUCAUGUACUGGAUGGAAGAAGUCGUGCUUGAGAGCAUCCUCUGCACUGAUUCGCCGUCUCGGGUUAACGGUCAAACAUCUAUCAACGAGGUCAAGGAGCGACCAUGGAAUUGCAUCUAGAAACUCCAUGCGUUUUGGGUUGAGUUCGUACCAUUUUCUCAACUCCAUCCCUUUCAAGUACCUUGACUUGUACAAUUCCUGAAACAACAACACAAAAAUCAACCUGAACUCAUCUCUCACGAUCAUCUAUCUAAUAAUUUUGUCGGUAAUUUACAUUUUUAAGAUAUAUAAUGUUUUGGAACACAAAAUGCUAACAAUGAAAACCCUUUUGUGAUAUUUGAAUCCAAAUGCUGGCGGCAAAGAAGAACAGAACAUGUAUGUUAUGUUCACACCAAUGCAGUAAUCAAAUGAAUGGAGAGUUUACAAGGGAUGAAAGAUGAGAUUUUACCUCAUGUAAAGAGGAUUCACGGUUGUGCAGCUUGGCUACUUCCCAUAAUUCUUCACUGCCUCGUAGUUGCGCAAUGUCCUUUAUGUUCCUGGGAAUGACAAGGUCGUUGUAAGACGGCAAGAAAGAAGAAAAAAGUGGAACCGAGUGAUGGUGUAUUCAGUCAAGUCAGAUCUUAACUGUUCAGGGUCACCAGUGAGAGCUUUCCUUCCCAUUAUGAGGUAUAACAAAGUAACUCCCGCAGAACACACGUCUUUUUUUAGGUCCUUGGUCCAAAGACCAUUCAGCCGAGAACAGCCCUAGAGAAUUAGCUUUUCCAUCCCAUCCUAGAUGUGUUAAUGAGUAGCUCAGGGAACAAGAUAUUUUCAUAUGGAUUUAACUAGUAUCAAGGGAAGUGAUAUAUCUGCAGGAAAAAUGGCUUGUGUCAAAACAUAUGAAAUCGUCUUGCCAUUAUCAUUAUAGUCAUGCUCGGUCCCAAGUUAUCCUAAAACAGAGGAAAACCGAAUAAUAAGAUGCUUCAGUUACCAGAACCAGAAUUCAAGAUAGGAAUUUCUUCAUCUUGUUGUUCACUUAUCAUGGAAUCAACACACAAAGAUUCCCCCUCCAGAGAUGGAUAAGAAGAAACUGAUGAUGCUUCUCCCUGCCCUAACGAAAGCUCCAUAUUUAGAGCGGUCAAGCUUGUGUCCGCUACAAUUUGGACACAGGGUAAGUUGAUAUAUUCUUCAGAUGUUCCCGAUGUCAUCUGCAUCGUAAACCAAAGGAUCGAUUCUGUUAAAUAGUCUGUCACUAAGGUAUUGAUCCUGGAAAAUAUAAUAAAACAUCAAGAGAUAGCUUUGCAAUUUUCAGUUCUAAUUAUGUCAAAAGGCUUACCCGCAUCCGCUUAUUGCUUCUCGCAGUCUCUACAACAUCACAUUUUUCUCGAGACUGUUGGCUGUACUCUGUUUCAGAGCUUCCAUCACUAUCAUCUGGAAAUGGAGACACAUUCAAGAGUCGUAUACCACAUUCUUUUAUCCUCUUGGAGCAAGAAAAGUUAAACUCCACAUCGUUGAAAGUCAAUUUAGAUGGAAGAUCUUCAGGCUGGAAGUUGAAGGAACAGAAAACCAGAUGAUCCGUCUUACACAACCGCAGGUCUGCAUCUUUAAAAAAUGAUUUGCAAUACAGUGUCCCAUUGAAGCCAGCAUUUACCUCACAAUAUGGACCCCAACUCUUGCCCUCAGUUAGAAGGUCAACCACGAUGCAAGCCUUAAAGCAAGAAUACUUGAGAAAGAGAGCUCUAAGGUAAAGUGACAGUUAGGGAAUCUCCAUAAGCUCGAUGUUGAAAAUACGUUGGCACUUCUCCACCUGGUAAGGACAUAGGCUUGAACAAUGACCGUAAGAUGAGUUCUCGCGCAUCUCCAUCCAAUUUGCAGCAGUUCUGGAAGAGAUAAUGAAAGGCCCCGAUCCGGACUACCUAAGUCCGGACGAGAUCUCUCGACCCAAGUCACUAAGUGACUCGACCCAAGUCACUAAGUGACUCGACCCUAACCAUUUAUGAGGUUCAUUCCCUAGUGUAAUCCGUUUCAUACAAUUCUGUGAUUCAAUAUAUGAGACGAAUAGAGUAAACAAACAAUCGGAUACUUUAUUAAUUAAGUAAAGGAUUCGAUACAACUUAUGAGUUUGCAUAUAAGCUAUUACAAGUAAUUUAAUCGAUCCCUAGACUAUCCGAAACUAUCACCACCCAUCAUUCCGGCCUUGAGUCUCUCGCGCCUAAGCCAAGUCCUUCCCACUAUCACCAUUGGUUCCUGAAAGUCAUAGAGCCAUAAGUAAUUUCAUUUACUUAGUCAUAUGCAAGUCCAUGCAAUGCUCCAUAGUCCUUACACUACUCGGAUCCGCGGAGAGGAUUCGGAGAAGGGAAGAUCGCGCAUAAGUCCGGCCGAUUCUCGGUAGGUCAAUUAAGACCCGCCGGUCCUCCGCCGAGCCGCGUCUCCGCCCCAGCCGAUCCCUUGCCCGGACCGAGGCUUGUGUAGGUUGCACAUGACCCGAUUCUACCCAGCCCAUUAGUCGUUCCUUUCAAGGAAUCCCGACUCAUUUAACGCAUUCUAGAAUCCUUAGACUCGAGGUCUAGGAUUCCUUACCUUCCUUCACGAUGUUCGGUCGAUCCGACCCUUCUUCUUCCUUGCCGGCCACAGUCCGCCUACCGAUUUCCUCCGAUGAUUUAUUCUCCCGAAAGGGAGAGAGUUUAAUGGUGAGUUUCCGGUAUUUUCCGUGUGUUCUGCUGCCUCUAAAGGUCUUGGGCGCCCUCCCUUAUAUAAGGAGCGAAUUGAUGCUUCCCGAAGGAUCACCUCCGUUCCUUGCACCUUUCCGAAGAGUUGCAUCUCUCGGUCCGUAACUGCUCGCCCUUAUCCACCCUUUGGGCGAGCACCCGUUCGACCGUAACCGCCCAAGUAACCGUCCGGGUAACCGCCCAGCUGGUCAGACAGUCGACCAGCUGCCUCGAGCUCAACCGUCACUCGCCCAGCUGCUCGAGCUGGACUGUCACUCAACCCGAGUAACCGUCACUCCUUCCAGCUGAGCUUGAGCUUCGGACGAGCUGACCCAGCUGAUUCCUUUACGAUCCUAGCUUAGCCCGCAUGAUUUCCCUUUGUCCGAGCUUAUGGCCAACUCCUUCCCACUUGUCCGAGACUCCACCUUCUUUUCUCGGACCAAGUCCCAGCCAACGAUCCUAUUGAGGAUCGCGGGCGUUACAAGUCUCCCCUUUGAAUUGGAUUCGACAAAUCGAAUCCAAGUUGAUCUUUACCCAUCUCCUUGAACCACUCCGGAAAAUUGGCCUUCAUCUUAGUCUCGGUUUCCCAAGUGUAUUCUUCACGGCCUCCACAAUUCCACAAGAUUUUUAACAAAUCCAUUGAUUUCCCCCGAGUCCCUUUCUUCAUUUGGUCCAUGAUCCGUACCGGCCAUGCUUCCACCGUCAUGUUCUCCUUUAACCCAGGAGGUACAUCUUCCAUGCUUUCUUCUUGUUCACUUAAGCACUUCCGUAGUUGUGAUACAUGAAAGACAUUGUGAAACGCGUCUAGUUUUGGAGGAAGGUCAAGUUUGUAUGCCACCGCCCCUACUCGUUCGAUCACUUUGUACGGGCCAACGUACCUUGGCCUUAACUUUUUCCUUGAUGUGAAUCGCCCUGCCCCUUUGUAGGUCAUCGCCUUUAAAUACACCAAGUCUCCCACUUGGAAUUCUAAUUCCUUUCGACGCUUGUUGGCGUAACUUUUCUGACGAUCUUGGGCUUCCUUUAACUUGAUUUUUAAGAACUUCAUUUUCUUCGUGGUUUCAUCCACGACCGCAGGUCCGAACAACCGACGUUCGCCCACUGGCGUCCAACACAACGGUGUUCUACCAGCUCGGCCAUACAACGCCUCAUAGGGAGACAUACCAAUACUAGCUUGAAAACUGUUAUUGUACGCAAAUUCUACUAACCUUAGAUAUUUCUCCCAGUUUCCUCCCCAAUCCAAGACGCAUGCCCUCAACAUGUCCUCGAGGGUUUGAAUCGUUCGUUCGGACUGUCCGUCCGUCUGUGGGUGAUAUGCAGUACUUAGAUUCACUCGAGUCCCUAAGACCUUUUGAAAAGGCUUCCAAAAUUUUGACGUGAACCUUGUGUCUCGGUCCGACACUAUACUAACCGGAAUCCCAUGUAAUCGCACGAUCUCGUCUAUGUACUUCUCGGCAAUGAUUUCGGCUGCAUCCUUAUCCGAGAUUGCCAUGAAGUGCGCAGACUUAGUCAAUCGGUCUACUACAACCCAUACCGCAUUGUGUUUGGACUUGAUCCCCGUCGGCAGUCCCGUGACGAAGUCCAUCAUUAUAUGGUCCCACUUCCAUUCCGGUAUAGGUAGGUUUUGUAACAUUCCACUUGGUACUUGAUGCUCUUCCUUGGCUACCCACCUGGCCACAUCUUUCUUCAUUCCUACCCAAUGGUAGUAUCUUUUAAGGUCGCGAUACAUCUUGUUCGACCCAGGAUGGAUCGAGAACUUCGAUUGAUGCGCUUCUUUUAGGAUUUCCUCCUUCAACGCCUUAUCGUUCGGCCCACAUACUCGACCGUUCACCACGAUAGUACCAUUGUUCGAGCUUUGGUACUCGGUUUUAUUGUUUUGUGCCCACCCUUUUAUUUCUUCAUCUCGUUCUUGAGCCGACCGGAUCCUACUAAGUAGGUCGGCUUGAUUGGCGGCUCUCAACCCUAAGGGUUCAACUUCCUUAGACAAAGCAUUCAAAUGCAAUGUCCCCAUCAUGUUAACCAAAUUCACUUGGUUCCUUUCCGCUUCCACUACCGUGCGCAGCCUGCUCAAAGCAUCUACAACUUGGUUGGCCUUGCCCGGAUGGUACGCUAUGUUCAAGUCGUAAUCCGCCACAAGUUUUAUCCACCUUCUUUGCCUUAGAUUUAACUCCGGCUGGGUGAAUAUGUAUUUUAGGCUCUUGUGGUCAGUAAAGAUUUGAACCUUGGCACCAUACAAAUAUGAUCGCCAAAUCUUCAACGCAAAUACUACCGCGGCCAUUUCCAAAUCAUUCGUAGGGUAGUUCUUCUCGUGUUUCCGCAAUUGCCUCGAGGCGUAUGCGAUAACACUCCCCUUUUGGAUCAAUACGCAUCCUAGUCCUACUAUGGAUGCGUCCGUGUAGACCGUAUAGGGCUCACCUUCCUCCGGUAAGACCAACACCGGUGCAUUAGUCAACAUGGCCUUUAACUCCAGGAAGCUUCUCUCGCAUUCCUCCGACCAGUUGAAUGCGGUGUCUUUUCCGGUCAAUUGAGUCAUGGGUUGGGCCAUGCUCGCAAAUCUCUCGACCCAAGUCACUAAGUGAAUGGACCCUAACCAUUUAUGAGGUUCAUUCCCUAGUGUAAUCCGUUUCAUACGAUUCUGUGAUUCAAUAUAUGAGACGAAUAGAGUAAACAAACAAUCAGAUACUUUAUUAAUUAAGUAAAGGAUUCGAUACAACUUAUGAGUUUGCAUAUAAGCUAUUACAAGUAAUAUAAUUGAUCCCUAGACUAUCCGAAACUAUCACCACCCAUCAUCCCGGCCUUGAGUCUCUCGCGCCUAAGCCAAGUCCUUCCCACGAUCACCAUUGGUUCCUGAAAGUCAUAGAGCCAUAAGUAAUCUCAUUUACUUAGUCAUAUGCAAGUCCAUGCAAUGCUCCAUAGUCCUUACACUACUCGGAUCCGCGGAGAGGAUUUGGAGAGGGGAAGAUCGCGCAUAAGUCCAGCCGAUUCUCGGUAGGUCAAUUAAGACCCUCCGGUCCUCCACCGAGCCGCGUCCCCGCCCUAGCCGAUCCCUUGCCCGGACUGAGUCUUGUGUAGGUUGCACAUGACCCGAUUCUACCCAGCCCAUUAGUCGUUCCUUUCAAGGAAUCUCGACUCAAUUAACGUAUUCUAGAAUCCUUAGACUCGAGGUCUAGGUUUCCCUUACCUUCCUUCACGAUGUUCGGUCGAUCCGACCCUUCUUCUUCCUUGCCGGUCACAGUCCGACUACCGAUUUCCUCCGACGAUUUAUUCUCCCGAAAGGACGAGAGUUUAAUAGUGAGUUUCCGGUAUUUUCUGUGUGUUCUGGUGCCUCUAAAGGUCUUGGGCACCCUCCCUUAUAUAAGGGGCGAAUUGAUGCUUCCCGAAGGAUCACCUCCGUUCCUUGCACCUUUCCGAAGAGUUGCAUCUCUCGGUCCGUAACUGCUCGCCCUUAUCCACCCUUUGGGCGAGCACCCGUUCGACCGUAACCGCCCAAGUAACCGUCCGGGUAACCGCCCAGCUGGUCAGACAGUCGACCAGCUGCCUCGAGCUCAACCGUCACUCGCCCAGCUGCUCGAGGUGGACUGUCACUCAACCCGAGUAACCGUCACCCCUUCCAGCUGAGCUUGAGCUUCGGACGAGCUGACCCAGCUGAUUCCUUUACGAUCCUAGCUUAGCCCGCAUGAUUUCCCUUUGUCCGAGCUUAUGGCCAACUCCUUCCCACUUGUCCGAGACUCCACCUUCUUUUCUCAGACCAAGUCCCAGCCAACAAUCCUAUUGAGGAUCGCGGGCGUUACAGAUAACCUGCCCUACAGGCCAAAUGUUUGUGGUUAAGGUUUUCCCAGAAACGAUGACGAGUAUACUCAAUGUUUUCAUAUAAUGGUAUAUAAGAAGAGUGAUCUUCCACACUGGCAUCACUCAUCGCCACGUUGACACCUCUACAUUCUGUAAAGUCGACGAGCUUAAGAAUUGUCAGUCUGAAAAUGUUUGGCGAGAUGUUUUUCAACCUCUUGCAACAAUACAUCAUAAGUACAGUGAGCCACGAGAAAUUUUCAAUGCAGCAGGGAACUUCUUCAAUAGCGGUGUUUUCCAGAUAGAGCCAUUUGAUACUCUUUGAAAUCAGAGGAAAAGUUCUCAAACUUGAGCAACCACUCAGAUCAAGCAUUUUAAGAGAUGACAAGUUGACAUCGGUUGGAAGAACCUCCAGCCCUGUGCAUUCUUUCAUUUCCAACCUCACCAAUUUUUGGAGAUUCCCAAUUGUAGAAGGAACUGUCACCAAACUUUUGCAAUUAGAGAGAUAUAAAUUCACCAGAUUAGUGGCCUUUGAAAGAUCUGGAAUUUCUGUCAGGUUUCCACAUUCUGACAUAUCCAUCUCCACGAGACUUGCAAGCGACUGAAACAGAAAUUAAAAAAAAAAAUUGUUAUGCUUCAAUCACUUUCAUUUUAAUUUAAUAACUAUACACAUUUAAACAAAAUUAUAAUCAAGACAUAAUUCUGUAUGUAAAUAUAAACCGUGGAAUCACAAGCCAUUUUGACAACUUUAAUUUGGUUAUACGUAAUUAUUUACAACAGAGGUUAAACAAAAAUCAGCAAAUGCUAUAAUAUUAACAAUGUACCUGGACGCCUUCCCAUAGCUUCUCAAGCAUUUGGUUGCCUCUCACUAUGAGACGAACCAGAUCAUUUGGGCGAAAUUCACAUGGCAUACAUCUCACAAGGCAGGCGAGAUAAUCAAGACCAGGGAGAUUCUUGUUCCAUAUACAAUUUUCUACGCGGAUCUCAAUUCCAUGUGGCGAAGUAGUUGAAGUUUCCAUUUUAAACACAGGGAAAUUUUUCUCAAAUUAUCGUAAUAAAGGAGACCGAGGUACUCAAGAGAUUCCAAGUUGAGAUGAGUUGGAAAACUCUCUAGCUUUGUGCAACCCCUCAUAUCUAAAUAGAUCAGUUUAAUGGCAUUCUGAAUCGAGGAAGAAAGUGUCACCAAAGAUCUGCAUUCCGAAAGAUUUAAUUCCUCGAGGUUUCUGGCAUUAGAAAGAUCUGAAAUUUCUCUCAAAUAUCUGGAACCAUGCAUAUUCAUCCUCUUGAGGCUUCCAAGUGGCUGAAAACAAAAUAGGGAAAAACAUAAUACACACAUUCAUAAACAUUUCAAAUAGAUUAAUUUUUACCACAGGUCUGUUCUAAAAAUUGACAACUAUUUCAAUGAAGAAUUAAGUACCACAGUUCCUUCCCACAGCUUCUCAAGCUUACUUCCCAUCAUUGUGAGUUGAAUGAGGUAAUCCGCCUUAAAACUAUAAGGCAAACAUUUCAAUGGACACCUAUCCCAGUCUAGCAAUCUGAGUUUAGGGGGCAAAUAAACGAGGCUCUGAGGUAGAUCCAUAUAAUCCCCAGUAACUGAUAGACAUUGGAGAUUACGCAUGCCUUGGAACGAUUUUUCAUCUAUUGGUAAUAGCUCUUUUGAUCGGAAAGCUGUGCAGAAACGUAUUCCAAGAACUGUUUCUGUCCCCUGAAAAAAAUACGAAGUAAACUAGUAUAAUGAUAUAAUCUUUACAAUGGCAACCGUUUUUAUUUUUCUGAGACAUCAAAAGAGCUAGCCACGUUUUAAUUAAGCAGGAGAGGCAACAAUUGUUAAAGUUUAUCAAUCCCCAAAUGACGAUUAAAUUAAUAUAAAGUCAUGCAUUAAAAGGCAUCUGCUAAAAACUUACAGUUUUCUCUGUCAAUACUUCUCAGAGUAUCCUCAAAAUCCGUUAGAAAUCGACGUUUUCCAGGAUUACCCUUGGACUUUGCACGAUCAAUUUCUAUACCCAAUUUCUCUAGCAAAUUGUGCAUCUCUAUAUCUCCAUCCGGUGUAAUACGUAUGAGGGACUUCUCAACCAACAUUGUAACCCCAACAUUAUCUUCAAGUAAAUCGUUGACGUAACUGACUUCAAAACCAUUGAAUAAACACGCGAUGUAAAGGAACAUAUCUUGAUCUUUUUGAUGUAAUCUAUCGUAGCUGACUCUUAAUGUUUUCAUAAUAUCUCCGUUCAAACCAUUUCGGAACCUAGGCAUCAUCUCCAUCCACUCUUCUUUGGUCCUUCGUUUUAAAGACGAACCAAGGACACUGAGACCCAAAGGAAGAUUACCGGCAAGCACUGCAACUUCAAAUGCUAGUGCCUUAAAAUCAUCAGGUGGAGAGUUUUCCCCAAAAGCAGAUCGGCAUAACAUCUUAAGAGCAAGAUCUAGAGAUGGGAACUUCACCUCAUAUAAAAGGUCAAUAUCAUGAGCCUUAAGAAGUUGCAUAUCUUGAGUGAUCACAAUAAUUCUGCUUCCAGGUCCAAACCAUUUAGUUUCCCCCACCAAGGUCUUAAGAAACUCUGGAUCAUCCACAUCAUCAAGAACGAUAAGAACUUUCUUCUGAUUUAACAUUUGCUCCACUACACCUAACUUCCCUCCUAUCUUUAUAUCCUUACCAAGAAUUUUUGACAGAAAUAUUUCUUCCCAUUCAGACUUCAUGCUAUAGACGUGAGGUACGAAAGCGUGAAAGUGGAAUUGGCAAAAGAGUUGACUGUAUAGAGCUUUUCCUAUGGUACUCUUACCAAUCCCUGAAGGCCCCCAAAUCCCAACCAUUCUAGCUUCCUUGGAUUCCAAGCACAAUAUUGAAUUCAUUGCCUCUAAAUGAGCUUCAAUUCCGACGAAAUCGCCAAAAGAAUUCGAUGGUGAAAUAAGCUUAUUCGAAACAUCAUUAGCUAUCUUUACAACCAUGGCUGCUUCACUAGGCCUAAUAACAGUAGUCAAAUUGUGUCAAUAAAGAGGCACCCCUAAAGCACACAAUCCAAAAAAAGAAGAAGCAGAUAGCAUAGUUCAGAGAUAAUUAAAAACACACUCAGAGAUAAUGAAAUCAAAAACAAAGUACCCGUUUCGAAGAUCUUCUCCGGCUAUAUUUGUUAUGUCUACUAGAGCUUGCAUCCAUCUUUGUUUCUGAUCCUCUUCUUUGUCCUCGCAUGUCUUUUUAAAAACAUCGCCAAAUUCGCCGGUCUGUUUUCUAACUUCCGAAGGAUCAACGUCGUAAAAAACUGAAAUCACCAAUUGACCCCAAUCAUUUAAGCGAUUGUGGAUCUCAACCAAUUCAUCCAAGCACCAAGUGGAAGAAGCAUAGUUCUUAGAGAAGAUCACGAUUGAGAUCCUUGCUUCUCUAAUCGCUGAUAUUAGCUCAGGGGCUAUUGUACGGCUUCGUUCGAUGCCAUGAUCCAUGAAUGUAUUGAUUGAUCUGCGGUCGAACGCCUCGAGUAGAUUGCUGAGGAACGUCUUGCGAACAUCUACCCCACUGAAGCUUGGGAAAACAUCGUAUCUCCGGCUGCAAGAAGAAGAAGCCGCCGCCAUGGAAUAUGAUGAGGAGAAGAUAAGUACAGUAAAUCGAAUACACAGUGAUUAUUGAUUAGAGUGAUUACUGUGAGGCCGGUCCUUAAGGGUGGGAUGCGCAAGGAAACUUCUUAUUUUUUGCCCAUAGGCCAUAAAUAUAAAAAUGUAGCGAAAUGUUUGUAAUGAGGUUCGAACCAAGGCCAAUGAAGCAUUUAAAACCUGAUUUCAAGUAUUCAACCGCUCAACUACAAGUUAUGAUGCCUCUUAAAUCAAUAUUAGAUUUAUUUUGGUGUCCAAGGUCUUUGCUUAUUGUAAAAAGGACAGCUUAUCGUAAACAUGUUGAGUGGGGAAUUCAGUCUUUGUUUCCCUAUACUUACAUGCAUAGAAACUAGGAGAAUUUGUAAGUAUAUCAAUUAUGAGGAUUUUAAUUCACAUAAUAAUAUAGUGAAAACAUUAACUAUCUAGUUUGUUAAAAAAAAAACUCUUUUAGCUUUCUAGAGUUGUGUGGUGUGGUGUGGAUGGACAGUGGAGUGAAGAUUUCUAGAAACUCUCUGCGUUUUGUGUUGAGUUCUCCUCAUUUUCUCAACUCCAUCCCCUUCAAGUACCUUGACACGUACAAUUCCUGAAACAACAACACAAAAAUCUAUGUGAAUUCAGCUCUCACGAUCAUCUAUCAAAUCACUUUAUCAGUAAUUUACAUUUUAAAGUUAUAUCAUGUUCUGGACUAACAAUGAAAACCAUUUUAUGUGAUAUUUGAAUCCAUAUGCUGGUGGCAAAGAAGAACAGAGCAUUUGUAUUAUGUCACACAAAUUCAGCAAUCAAGUGAAUGGAGAGUUUAUAAGGGAUGUAAGAUGAGAUUUUACCUCAGGCAAAGAGGUUUCACGAUUGCAGCUUGGCUACUUCCCAUAAGUCUUCACUGCCUCGUAGUUACUCAAUGUCCUUUAUGUUCCUAGGAAUCACAAGGUCGUUGUAAGACGGCAAGAACGAAAAAAGAGUGGAAUCGACUGAUGGUGUAUUAUAUUUUUAUUUAUUAUUAUUAGGUCAUUGGUGCAAAUAUCUGAAGCAAACCUGCACAAACCAAUUCAGCUAAAAUAAGCACCAGAGAAAUUAGCUUUCACAUCCUAAAUGUGACAAUGACUAGCUCACUUGACCUCAGGGUCGUGAUUGAGUUUGGUGGUUGUGGCCGGUGAGUAGGACGGGUGGAAGCUGGUUUUGUAUGUAUGGGGCAGUGGUGGUGCUGAGUUAUGUUGUAAUCACUGUUUUUUACUGUGAGUGUAGGAAACGCCAUGGUAGCAGUGAUGCAUUUAAUGCUGAUGAGGUUGCUAUUUAAAAAUUUAGUUCCAACACUUUUUUGUUGUUGAUAAUUCUCUUGUGAAAUACAUUUUUCUUUACCGAAUUUAUUCAUUGAUUUAAAGAGAGAAAAAUAACCUUUGGUAACAUACACGUAGAGAGAUAUGUGUGUUUCAAAAGACAAGACUGUUAUAUUUACAUCUUUUCAGGAAAGCGAAUUUUUCAAAGAAGCAAAACAGAGAGAAGUAAGAACAGAGUGGUUCUGCUGUUCUGGACAUGGAACCAUAAAAGUUUUCUAGUUGUCAGUGCUCCAUCAUCUGCAGGAGAAAAUGGCUUGUGUGAAAAACUAAGAAAUCGUCUUGUCAUUACCAGUAUAGUCAUGGUCGAUCCCAUGUUCAUUAUAAAACAGAGUUGUAAUACGUUUCAGGUUACCUUAACAAUGUGAUAAGCUGUAGAGACGGCUAAGGAUCCAGGAAAGGAAUCUUAACAAUGUGAUGGUGUGAAUUCAGUCAAGGCAGAUCUUAACUGUUCAGGGUCAGCAGUGAAAGGUGUCGUCCCCAUCAGACCAUACGUUUUAUUUAGGCCCUUGAUGCAAAGAUCUGAAGCAAACCAAUUCAGUCAAGAACAGCCCCAGAGAAUGAGCUUCCCAUCCUAGAUGUUCUAGUGAGUAGUUCAGGCCUACAACUUUCACUCUUCUCGAUAUAAUUAAAGAGUGCAGCGGCAUAGGGGAACAGCAGCGACAUAUUUUCUCAUCGACGUAGGAUAGCUGGAUGAUACUUCAUGGUUUGGAAGUGGACCAGACAAUGUCUCCUGUAGAAAGUUUAAAAGCUCUUUCCUUCACCCGAAGGAUUGUUCCUUAUGCUGGUUACAUCUUUGGCCGAAGUUAGGCCAAAAACGCUUCUGCCUUUUGGCUAUUGAAUCAGCGGAUAUGCAAAUGUUGCUGAUUCUUGUUGUUUUCUGUACCCAAAGUCUGAUUUAUUCAUUGCUAAUAAAGAGAAAAACAACCUUUACUAACAUAAACAUUGAGAUCUAUGUUUUAAAAAGGCAAGACUAUUUUGGGUAGUACCUGCACUCAAGCAGGUACGCUCCCAAAUUCAAUGUCUUUCUUAAAAAUAGAAUAUGUUUUUACAAAACAAAACAAUGCCAAAGAUGUUUUUCCAGAAUAUGCUAAAGUAUGGCUUUCUGAAACAUUUAUUCUUUCAGGAAAAGUGAAAUGUUCAAAACAAACGCAGAGCUGGAUAAUGUAACGGACUUUGGUUCUCCUAAAGAUCUUCAUCAUCUGCAGUUAAUUAUCAUUAUCAUUAUAGUCAUAGUCGAUCCCAAGUUAUCCUAAAACAGAGUAAAACAGAAUGAUAAGAUGCUUCAGUUACCAGAAUCAGUAGACAAGAUAGGAAUUUCUUCAUCUUGUUCUUCAGUUAUCAUGUAAUCAACACACAAAGCUUCCCCCUCUAGAGAUGUUGAUGAUGAUGCUUCUCCCUGCCCUAACGAAAGCUCCAUAUUUAGAGCGGCCAAUCCUGAGUCCGCUACAAUUUGGCCAUAGGGUAAGUUGAUAUAUUCUUCAGAUGUCCCCGAUGUCAUCUGCAUUAUAAAUCAAACGAUCGAUUCUAUUAAAUAGUCUGUCCCUAUGGUGUUUCGAUCCUGAAAAAUCAAACCAAAAGUCAAAAGAUAGCUUUAUAAUUUUCAGCUCUAAUCAAAAGUCAAAAGAUACCCCCAUCCGCUUCUCGCUUCUCGUAGUCUGUUGGUUGUACUCUGUUUCUUGAUAGACAUACAAGAGUCGUACACCGCAUUCUUUGAUCCUAUUGGAGCAACAAAAUUUAAACUCCAUUCAGACCAGAUCUUGAAGGAACAGAAAAACAGAUGAUCCGUCUUACAAAACUGCAGGUCUGCAUCUUCAAAAAAUGAUUUCUGAUACUGUUUGCCAUUGAAGCCAACAUUUACCUUCAAGGAUGGAUAAAAACCCUUGCCCUCGGAGGGAGGUUCAACCACGACGCAAGCCUUAAAUGGAAAGAAGUAUUGAGAAAGAGAGCUCUGAGGUAAAGUGACAGUUAGGGAAUCUCCAUAAGCUCGAUACGUGAAAUACUUAGGGAUUUCUCCACCUGGUAAGGCCACAUGCUUGAAGCAUGAUCGUAGGAUAAGUUCUCGCGCAUCUCUUUCCAAUUUGAAGCAAUUGCAGAAGCUAAAGGAUUCCCUACGUAAGCGCCAAUCUACGACGUAGUUCUUAUAAUCAUCAUCAUACAACGCAUCCCAGAAACGUUCACAUGUAUAUUCAAUGUUUUCAGAUAAUGGUACACAAGAAACGUGAUCUUCCAUUGUCGCUACCACAGUUGCAUCACUCAACGCCUUGAUGACACCUCUACAGUCUGUAAAGUCGGCGAACAUUAGACUUCUCAGUCUGAAAAUGUUUGGGGAGAUGUUUUUCAACCUCUGGCAACAAUACAUCAGUAGUACACGGAGCCUCGUGAAAUCCUCAAUGCAGCAGGGAACUUCUCCAAUGGCGGUGUUUUCCAGAUAGAGCCAUACAAUAUUAGUUGAAAUCAGAGGAAAAGUUCUCAAACUUGAGCAACCACUGAGAUCGAGGAUACCCAGAGAUGACAAGUUGACAUCGGUUGGAAGAACCUCCAGCCCUGUGCAUCUUUUCAUGUACAAACGUCUCAAAUUUUGAAGAUUCCCAAUUGUAGAAGGAAGUGUCACCAAACUUUUGCAGUUGUUGAGUAUCAAAGACUCGAGCUUGGUGGCCUUUGAAAGAUCUAGAAUUUCUUCAAUGGCGGUGUUUUCCAGAUAGAGCCAUUUGAUACUCUUUGAAAUCAGAGGAAAAGUUCUCAAACUUGAGCAACCACUGAGAUCGAGGGUUUCGAGAGAUGACAAGUUGACAUCGGUUGGAAGAACCUCCAGCCCUGUGCAUUCUUUCAUUUCCAACCUCACCAAUUUUUGGAGAUUCCCAAUAGUAGAAGGAAGUGUCACCAAACUUUUGCAGUUGUUGAGAUAUAAAUGCUUCAGAUUGGUGGCCUUUGAAAGAUCUGGAAUUUCUGUCAGGUUUUCAGAUUCUGACAGAUCCAUCUCUUCGAGACUUCCAAGCGACUGAAAAAAACAUUAUCGAUGAUAAUCAUUUUAAUUUUAUACCUAUAUAUGUUUAAAAUUAUAAUUAAACAUUAUUACGUAUGUAUGUAAGACAUAACCGUGGAUCGACCACAAGCCAUAAAAACAAAUUUGGGUAUACUUAAUUAGUUAUAUAACAGAAGGUAAACAAAAAUCAGCAUAGCAUUAACAAUGUACCUGGAUGCCUUCCCAUAGCUUCUCAUGCUUGUAGCACCUCACAUUGAGAAAAACGAGAUAUUCUGGGCGAAAUUCACAAGGCAUACAUCUCAUAAGGCAGUCGAGAUAAUCUAGUCCAGCAGGGAGAUUCUUGUUCCAGAAACAAUCUUCUACCACGAUCUCAUUUCUCCCUUCCGGAAAGUCAACGUCUGAACAUCCCAUUUUGAUUGCUGGGAAAUUUCUCAAAUUCGGGCAUCCAGUGAGAUUGAGGUACUCGAGAGAUUCCAAGUUGAGAUCGGUUGGAAAACUCUCUAGCUUUUUGCAAUCACUAAUAUCUAAAUAGAUAAGUUUAAUGGCAUUCUGCAUCGAGGAAGGAAAUGUCACCAAGGAUUCGCAUUUACAAAUAUCUACUUCCUCGAGGUUUAUGGCUAAAGAAAGAUCUGGAAUCUCUUUCAAAUAUUUGGAACCACGCAGAAACAUCUGCUUGAGUCUUCCAAGUGGCUAAUAACAAAAUAGGGGAAAAGAGAGUACACACGUUAGUGAACAUUUUAAACAGAUUCAUUUUAGUUUUUCUAACAGAUUUAUGUUUAGAAAUUGAUCACUAAUAGAAUUAGUACCUGAGUUCCAUCCCACAGCUUCUCAAGGUCACUAUUCUCCAUUCUGAGUUUAACCAGAUACUCAACCUUAAAAUUAGAAUGCAAACGCUUCAAUGGACAAUUAUUCCACAAUAGCAAUCUGAGUUUACUAGGGAAAUAAACGAUGCCCUGAGUGCCUUCCAUACGUGAGCAAUCAACUGAUAGAUAUUCGAGAUUACACAUGCCUUCUAAUGAUUUUAAAUCUAUUAAUAGCACCCCCGAACAAUAUAACGUCCUCAGUUUAAUGGCAUUCUGAAUCGAGGAAGGAAGUGUCACCAAAGAUUCGCAUUCAGAAAGAUUUAAUUCCUCGAGGUUUAUGGCUAAAGAAAGAUCUGGAAUUUCUUUAAAAUAUUUGGAAUACCACAAAUUCAUCUUCUUGAGACUUCCAAGGGGCUGAAAACAACAUAUGGAAAAAGAGAAUACACACGUUCACAAUUUUUUUAAAACAGAUUCAUUUGAAGCUUUUCUAACAUAUAUAUGUUCAUAAAUAUACCACAGUUCUAUUCUAAAAACUGACAACUAAUAAAAUUUAUAAUUCGUACCAGAGUUCCUUCCCACAGUUUCUCAAGCUUACUAUUCUUCAUUAUGAGUUUAACUAGAUACUCCGCCCUAAAAGUAGAUGGCAAAGACUUCAACGGACAAUAAACCCAUUCUAGCAAUCUGAGUUUAAGGGGCAAAUAAACGAGGCUCUGAGGUAGAUCCCCAUCUGACCAAUAACCAAUUUCUAGAUAUUGGAGAUUACGCAUGCCUUUGAAUAAUUUUUCAUCUAUUAAGAACGACCUUGUCGUAAGAUAUCCCGGGUGUGGCAAACGUAUUCCAAGAAGAAUUUCUGUCCCCUGAAAAAAAAUCCGAAGAAAACUAAUAUAAUCUUAACAAUCGCAACCUUUUUUUAUUUUUCUGACACAUCAAAGCUACGUUUUAAUUACGCAUGAGGCAACAAUUGCUUAAGUUUAUCAAUCCCCAAAUUACGAUUAUACUAGAUAUUGACCCGCGGUGUACCGCGGGUGGAUAUGUUCAUAGAAAAGUUAUACAUAUUUUUUAUACGAAUUAUUAUUUUUAUAUAAAUAAUAUUUUCUUAACACAUAAUUUUUAUUUAUGUAAAUCUUGGAUAAUUCAUGUUUUAUGUUCUCAUAUUUGUUAGUUUAAUAUUAAAAUUCAGUAUUUGUUUUUUUGGUUUGGGUUUUUUAGAGAUAAUAAAGAUCUAAAAUUCAUGUUUGGGGUCGAUAUUUUUAUCAGAAAAUUAAAUAUUUUUAUUUUAAUUAAUAUUAUUUAUAUAUAUAAUAUAUUCAAGAAGUACAUCAAAGGCCUAUAUUUUUAUUAAAUAAAAAAUAAUAUUUUUGUCUUUAAAAUGAUCUAUAGAUAUAUGCUAUUGUUUUUUUAUGUAUGAUACUAUGAUACACCUCUGUAUGAUUUUUAUAACUAAUUUUUUUUAAAAAAAUUAAAAUUUUUUUUAGUGUUUAAAAUUGUAUAAUUGUAUUUUGAUUGUUAAUUUUAGGAUUUCAUCCAUAGUAUAUCAUCCCGUAUCAAUAUCGAUCCAAACUCAUCCCACCAUAUAACCUCGUCCCGUGAAAUUAAAACUUCAUAAAAUUUUAAAAUCAUUAAUAUUUUAAAAAAAUUUAUAGACUUUAACUUUUAAAAAAGUUUAAAAAUUUGUAAUACUUAACUUUUAAUAAAGUUUCAAAAUAUAUAAUAUUUUAAAACUUUAAAACUUUUACUUAUUUAAAAUAAAGAACCAAAGUAAAACGAAAGCUCCUGCUCUUUCGUUUUCAGAAUCACUUUGGUCUUUUUUAUAGUAUAACUCUUAACGAUUUCCUCAUUUUUAAGCAAUGUGAGACCUUUAAAACUUAUUUUUUUUCAUCGAUGGAGUAUUAUAUGUUUGUUUUAAGAAAUUUAAAUUUCAUCAGAUGCAAAAAAAAUCUAAUAUUUUAUUAACUAUAUGUAUUUUAUAUAUAAAGUAAAAAAAAAUAGAUAUAAAAACAAAUAUAGUGACAGAAAAAUUAUAUAUUUAUAUUUAAUGUCGAUAUAUAGAUUUUAGAAAAUUAGCCUUAAUCGAAUAUAGUUCAAUAAAGAAAGAUUUAGUUAAGGAUAAAAAUUUAGGAAAGAGUUAAUUCAACUAAUUAAUGCAAUUAAGCUAAUUGUAAUUUUUUAGUUAUAAAGUAUUUGAUUGAGAUUAAAUUUGUAAGGACUAAUAUUGAAAAUAGUAAAUAGGUGAGGGAUUUUUGGCCAAAAACCCUACCAAAAAUGUAUAUGUAGAUUGACAUAAAGUCAUGCAUUACAACGUUUAAGGAGAUGCGAAAAACUUACAGUUUUCUCGGCCAAUACUUCUUGAAUAUCCUCAAAAUUUGUCAGAAAUUGACGUUUUCCAGGAUUACCCUUGGACUUUGCACGAUCAAUUUCUCUACCCAAUUUCUCUAGCAAAUUGUGCAUCUCUAUAUCUCCAUCCGGUGUAAUACGUAUGAGGGACUUCUCAACCAACAUUGUAAGCCCAACAUCAUCUUCAAGUAAUUCUUUGACGUUACUGACUUUAAAACCAUUGAAGAAACAUGCAAUGCACUUAAAUAACUCUCUAUUUUUUUUAUUUAACCUAUCGUAGCAGACUCUUAGUGUUUCCUCAAUUUUAUCAUCUGAGUCAUUUCGAAGCCUAGGCAUCAUCUUCACCCACUCAUCUUUGUCCCUUCCUUUUAGAGAUGAACCCAAGACACUGAGACCCAAAGGAAGACUACCAGCAAGCUCGGCAACUUCAAAUGCUAGUGCCUUAAAAUCAUCAGGUGGAGAGUCUUUCCCAAAAGCAUAUUGGGAUAUCAUCUGAAGAGCAAGACCUUGAGAUGGCAGCUUCACCUCAUAUACAAGGUCAAUCUCAUGAGCCUUGAGAAGUUGCCUAUCUUGAGUGAUCACAAUUAUUCUGCUUCCAGAUCCAAACCAUUCAGCUUUUCCCACUAAGGUCUUAAGAAACUCUAGAUUAUCCACAUCAUCAAGAAGGAUAAGAACUUUUUUGUGCUUUAAUCUUUGCUCCACCACACCAAAAUGAUCUAUCUUUAUGUCCUUUUGACCUAAGAUUUCCGAGAGAAGUUCUUUUUGCCAACUCAACUUCAUGCCAGAGACGUCACUACCGCUGGUGCUUUUGUAAGUUACGAAAGCGCGAAGGGGGAAUUGGCUAGAGAGUUGACUGAAAAGAGCUCUUCCUAUGGUACUCUUACCAAUCCCUGACUGUCCCCAAAUCCCGACCAUUAUUUUAGCUUCUUUGGAUUCCAAGCACAGUAUUGAUUUUAUUGCCUCUAUAUGAUCUUCAAUUCCGACUAAGUCACCAAAACCCUUUGGCGGAUGAAAAAGUUUAUUCGAAACAUCAUUGGCUAUCUUUUCAACCAUAUGCGCAUCAUUAGGCCUAAUAACAAUAGUCAAAUGUGUCAAUAAAGAGGCACCCUUAAAAGCACAUCCAAGUCUAUGCAAAAAAUAUUGUAUAGUUCUACGAUAAUUAUAAACACACACAUAAUUCAAAAAAAAACACACACAUAAAUAAUGGAAUCAAAACAACAUACCCGUUCCGAAGAUCCUCCCCGGCAAUAUUUGAUAUAUCUGUGAGAGCUUUAACCCAUCUUUGUUUCUGAUCUGCUGGUUUGUCCUCGCAUGUCUUUUUAAAGACCUUUCCAAAUUCACCGAUCUGUUUUCUAACAUGAGAAGGAUCAACGUCGUAGAAAACCGGUAUCACCUUUUGUCCAAAAUAUUUAGAGCAAUUGUCGAUUUCAACCAAUUCAUUCAAGCACCACGUGGAAGCAGCAUAGUUCUUAGAGAAGAUGACAAUUGAGAUCCUCGCUUCUCUAAUCGCCGAUAUAAGCGCAUCGGCGAUUAUGCAGCUUCUCUCGAUGACGUGAUCCAUGAAUGUAUUGAUUGAUCUGCGAUUGAGCUGCUUAAGAAGAUGGCUGAGGAAAUUCUUGCGAACAUCUUCCCCACUGAAGCUUGGAAAAAUGUCGCUGCCAGAAGAAGAAGCUGCCGCCAUGAAAGAUGAUGAGUUUGAGAUAGAAUAUCUUUAAAAGAAGUAAAUCAGCAAUACAUAAUGAUUAGUGUGCAGGAAGAGGAGAAAUCGUGCAUAGAAGACUUAUGCUGUGCGAAACGGAGUACCUUAUAUUCGCUGGGAAACGUGCUGUUAUGUACAAGAUUAGUAAUUUUUUAGUGGUUAAUAUCAAAUCUCCUAACAAGAGUAGGGUGACGACAGGCACAAUUAAGAUAAUAAAUAACUAGAUAACACAGAAACUUCGCCUUUCAUUCGUCGAAGAGUUGCAUAGAAGACUUAUUAUACAAGAUGUUUAUUUUACUGGUUAAAAUCAAAUCCCUUAACAAGAGAGUAUGGUGAGACACACCUAAUAUAUAAUAACAAUUUAACACAGAAACUUCGCCUUCCUUUUCUUGAAGAUUUGCAUAGAAGACUUUGUUCAAGAUAUAUUUUUUUAGAGGUUAAUUGAUAUCAAUUUUCCUAACAAAGUAUGAUGUAUUAAGACAUAAUAAUAACUUAAUAAGACAGAAACUUCGCCUUUCUUUCGUUGAAGACUCGCAUAGAAGACUUGCUAGUUGCUAUACAAGAUAUUUAUUUUACAGGUUAAAAUCAAAUCCCCUAACAAGAGACUAUAGUGAGAGACACAAUCAAGUUAUAACAAAUUAACACAGAAACUUCCUUCCUUUCCUUGCAGGCUUGCAUAGAAGACUUACUGUACAAGUUAUAUUUUUGUAGUGUAUGAUGACAGACACAAUAAUAAAUACAAAGAAACUUCGCCUGGCAUAGAAGACUUACUGUACUUCUAGUGGUUAAAAUAAAAUCGCCCUGAAAGAACUCAUAACUUUUUAGGCUACGUCAGCCGAGAAAAUUGCGACAGGAGAGGCGACUAGGGUUUUUUUCUUUUGCCGCACGCGAAGGGUUCCUAGCAGUCAGCCACCGAAUCUAUGUUCAGAAGGAGAAAGGGAAUUAUACAACGAUGUUCCAUCGCCAUGAAAUUUGCUUGAAGAAACUGAUAACAGUAGUAUCAUACUUAUAGAAGAAGACAUCUGGAAAGUUCCAAAUUUGGAGCCGUCAAGCUUGUGUUUGCUACUGUUUUACCACAGAGUAAGUUGGAAGGUUCUUCAUAUGUUCUUACCGUAAUCUGCAUAAUAAAAUCAAAUCUAUUAAAUUCCUUUGGUCUAUUUUGCAGGUGAUCCUGAAAAUGAAUCAAGAGUUAGAUAUGUAAUUUUCCGUUCAAUAAUUCAAAGCUUCACCCGCUUUAGCUUCUUGCUUCUCCCAUUGACUAUGUCACUUUCUCUAGAAUGUUGGUUGUUCUCAGUUUGAGCGCUCGUACCACUACCAUCCUCAGAUGGAGAGGCAUCUAAAUGCCGUACGCUGAAUUUUUUUAUCCUCUUAAACGACAAGUUUGCGUGUCGUGGUCAAGCCCAAAUUUGACACAAGAACAAGCAUUGCUAUGAUAUUCAAACUUGAAUUUCACAUCGUUGUAGUCCAAUUCAUAUGGAUAACCAAAGACUUCUUCUGAAGGGCAAAACUCAGAGCGGAACACAACCAUAAUGUACUAGGUAAGAUUUUUGAAUUAGAUUGUGCUACUUUGAAUUCCGAUGGUGUUUUUUGCAGCGUUCUAUUCUUCUAAUCAUUAUAUACUUUGUAAGAAAUAAGUAGUUUAUAAUCAAUUCUUUGCGAAAAAAUUAGUAUAGCAAGCAAAAUAAUUUACGUUACUAGAUUUCAAAUCCCAAUUUGAGCGGGAAGUCCAUCUAGUUUGAAGCUAAAAGGCUUUAUGACAAAUAUACUCUAACAAGCUUGCAGGCCAAGCAAAUCAUAUUAGAAGCAAAAGAAAGGUCGAGAAAAUAUCUUAGGAACAUCAUUAAUGAAUGAGUUUAAGGAGAAUGUUACCUGGAUUACUUCCCAUAACUUCUCAAGCUUGCUACCUGGCAUUGUAAGCUCUGCGACACAUUCUGCAUGACAUUUAGACGGUAAAUAUUUUAUUGGACAAUCAAUCCAAACGAGUUCAGUGAGACCAAAGAUAUUCCCAAUAAAGAAACAAUCUAUGUCUUCUCUGAUUGCAGUUUCGUUUAGAUGGAGCUCUGAAAUGUUCUUUGAAAUUCGAGGGAAACAUCUCAAACUUGAACAUCCCCUGAGAUCGAGGUGUACUCUAGAGAUUCCAAGUUAACGCCGGUUGGGAGAACUUUUAGAUUUUUGCAUCCUUGCAUUUCCAACCGCCUCAGUUUAUUGAGAUUCCGAAUUGAAGAAGGAAGCAUCACUAAACUUUUGCAAUCGUUAAGUUCCAAGUGGUCAAGAUUGAUGGCCGUUGAAAGAUCUGGAAAUUCUUUCAGGUUUUCACUUCCUGACAAAUCCUUCCUCACCAGACAGACUCCUUCCCACAACUUCUCAAGCUUGCUAUUCUCCAUUGUGAGUUUAAUCAAAAUUUCAGCCCUAAAAUUGAAACACAUACUCGUCAACGGAUAUUCAUCCCAAUAUAGCAAUCUGAGUUUUCGGGCCAAAUAAAUGAAUCCCUGAGGUAAACACAAUCUGCUUUCACCAGUCUCUAGCGAUCGACAACUCCUUGUAAAAUUUUAGAAAUGUGAGAUUACACAUUCCUUUGAAGAUUGUCCAUUUACAAACAAUCUAUUUCUGAGAUUACACUCAUCGAUUUCUGUUGUGUUGAAAGACAUGCCUAGCACAUUUUCAGUUCCUGAAAAAAAAACAUUAGUAUUUUACAACGGUCACAAUAAUCUAUUACGUUAUAGAUGACUCUCUUCGAUUCAUAUGGAGUAGUGUACUCAAACAUGAAAAUCAACUGACCCACCUUCCUUCUUAGUGGGUCCGCCACUGAUCAACAAGCAAGUUCUUGAUAUAAUCAACUUUUUGAUCAUUAAGUAAACACGCAAUGUAAAGGAAGACUUCUUCUUACUCCUUCAUUGUGCCUUCUCAGAACAGGUUUGGUUUCUGGUUCUUCACAGACUAGGAUUACCACAAUGUACUUUUGUUGAUUGGUCUACUGUCAUCACUUGGCUCCUGACCAAAUCCCCUUCCCUAUCAAAUGCUUUGAAACGCAUUUCUGCCCAAGCCACUAUCUACCUGCUCUGGCGAGAAAGGAACAAUCGCUUACACAAUGAUCUUUCCUCUUCGGUCUCUGUGAUCUUUGGUCAGAUUGAUAGGAAUAUAAAGGAUACUCUUCUUGCUCGUCAGUACAGGAAAGGUUGUGGGAGACUUCUAUCCCAAUGGUUUUCUUAUAGUUAACAUAUCUAUUCUAUUGAUCGAUGUUUCAAUCAUGGCUUUUUAAUUUUUUUUGGGCCUUUGAAACUGGCUGCCUUUUGGCAUUGUAAAUAACAUUUCCACUUUCCUUCUAAGGUAAUAUAUAUUCACAAGUUAUCAAAAAAAAAAAAAAAAGGGAAGACUUCUUUAUCUUUGUCAUCUAACUUAUCGUAGCUGACUCUUAAUGUUUUCUCAAAUUUUCCGUCUAGACCAUUUCGAACCCUAGGCAACAACUCCAUCCAUAGUCCUUGUCCUUUCCUCUUAAUGAAGAAACCAAAAGAUUGAGACAUAAAGGAAGAUUACCGAAAAGUUUUGCAACUUCACGAGUUAAAUUCACGAAACCAUCUGGUGGAGCGUUUUGCCCAAAAACACAUCGACAAAACAUUUGUAGAGCCAAAAUUAUAUUUCAGAUGGAAAAUUCAGUUCAUAAACAAGGUCAAUCUUAUGAGACUUGAAAAAGUUUUUUUUAUCUUUACUUAUCACAACAAUUCUGCUUCCAAUCCCAAACCAUCCAGUUUGUGCCACCAAGGUCUUUAAUAGCUCAAGAUCAUCAACAUCGUCAAUAAUUAUAAGAACUUUCUUGUGCUUUAACCUUUGUUCCACCGCACAUAAAUGCAAAACCUUUAUGUCCUUUUGACAUAAAAUUUCUGAUAAAACCUGUUCUUCUCGGUUGGUUUAUAAGUUACGAAAGCGCGAAGGGGGAAUUGGCUAGAGAGUUGACUGAAAAGAGCUCUUCCUAGGGUACUCUUACCAAUCCCUACCAUUCUAGCUUCUUCAGAUUCCAAGCACAACAAUGAACUCAAUCUCUCUAAAUGAGCUUCAACACCAACGAAAUCACCUAAAUCACUCGAUGGUGUUAUGAGCUUAUUCGGAACAUCGUUGGAAAUUGUUUCAAUCAUGUUUGCUUCAUUACACCUAAAAAUCAAUACUCAAAUGUCAGCAAUGAACACUACAAUCGGAGUCUUAAGCCUAAUCAAACAAAAAUUUGAAAAAAAAAAAUACCAGUUUCGAGAAUCCUCUCCAGCCAUAUUUGCCACAUCUGCUAGAGCUUUCCUACACCUUUGUUUCUCAUCAUCUGUUUUGUUCUUGCAUGUCUCUUCAAAGACCUUUCCAAAUUCUCCGGUCUGUUUCCUAACAUCAGAAUGAUCAACCUCGUAGAAAAUCGGAGUCACCAUUUGAUCCAAGUUUUUAAAGCACUUGUGGAUCUCAACCAAUUCAUUCAAGCACUAGGUGGAAGAAGCAUAUAUACUUGUUAGAGAAGACGACGAUUGAGAUCCUCGAUUCUCUUAUAGCCAAUAAAAGCUCUGGGCCGAUUGGGCGGCUUCUCUCGAUCUCAUGGUCGAUGUGUAUUGAUUGAUCUGCGAUCAAGCUUCUUAAGUAGAUGGAUGAUGAAUGAAUUACGGACAUCUUCAUCGCUGAAGCUCGGAAAAACGACGUAUCUCUUGCUGCGAGAAGAAGAAGAUACUCUAAACCUCGACAAUGACUAUACGACUGGGGAUGAGAUGGAUCUGGAUGAGGAGAAUGAAGAUGAAGAACAAGCAGGCCUAGAUUCACUUGCUAGUACAGCUAAUAACAAGGUGAAAGGUAGACGUAGACGUAAGCGUUUCAAAGUGCUUAAUAAUUAGAGAUAAUUUUAGUACCACAAGGAUAAUUUUAGUACCAUUGGAACUAAACUGGAAGAUCAUUAUGAGUGAUGUGCAAUGCAAAUACUGCAAUCAUACUUAUUGCUUAGACCUACGUAGAAGUGGUACAACUACUAUGUUGCGUCACAUGAGAGUUUGCUCAAAGACUCCUGGAAGUACACCUGCAACUGGAAUAAAAAGCUUGAUAUGAUGGUGUUUAGGGAGAUGAUUGGAUUAGAUUAGCAAUAAUUGAGCAUGAUUUGCCUUUUUCUUUUGUUGAGGACAAAAUAAUUAGAGAGACAUUUCUCUAUGCUAAUUCUAGCAUAUAAUUUUGGAGUAGGAACACCGCAACUUUUGAUUUCAAGUAUUGGACCGAGCUAAUGGACAUGGACAGUCCAUUUCGACAGCUCUAGCUUUGGAUGAGACUUGAUGGUUUGGAAUUGGAGUUGACUCCUUCACAAAGUUUUAAUAGUUCUUCCUUGCAUGACACGGAAAAGGCUAUCUCCUUUUUUCACCACCUGAAGGGUUGCUUCUUGUACUGGUCACAUGUUUGGCCGAGGUUAAGUCACACGCUAUUGAAUCAGCGAUCCAACACUUUUUUUUUUUUUUGUUGUUGUUGUUAAUUCUCUUGUGAAUUUGCAAUAUACAAUUUUGUUUACCCAAAUUCUAAUUUAUUCUUUGCUUUAAAACAAAAAAAAACUUUGCUCACAUACAUGUUAUCAUUAUCGUCGAGAUAUAUGUUUUUUUAAUAAAGACAAAGACUAUUUUGGGUAGUACCUGACCUGAGUCAAGUAUGUAAAACCCUAAGAUCACAAAUUCAAUGUCUUUUCGACUAAAACAGAUAAACAGUACGGUACAAUACAAAACAUCCCAAUGAUAUCUUUCCAGAAUAUAAUGUGCUAUGGCUUUUUGAAAGAUGUAUUUAUUCUUUUAGGAAAAGCAAAAUUCUCAAAGAAGCAAAGACAGAUAAGUAAGAACAGAGUGCUUCACUUUCAGCUAAAGAAGAAAUUACAAACAUUUUCAUCAGGCUCCGGAGUUGGAGACCUAAAUGGAUUCUAGACUUCUGGUUCUCCAAAAGCUCUCCGUUACCUGAAGAAAAGAUGGCUUGCGUUAAAGCUAUGUAAUCGUCUUGUCAUUAUCAGUAUAGUCAUGGUCAAUCCCAAGUUGAUCCUAAAACAGAACAAAACAGAACUGGAAGAUGUUUUGAUUACAUUAAAAAGUUGAUAAGCUCUGGGAACAACGAAGGAUCCGCGGUAGGUGUUUCUAUAUAUUGUUGUUCAGUUAUCAUUGGAUCAAUACACAAAACUUCUUCCUCUAGACAUGGUUGGGAAAGACACAACGAUGCUCCAUCAACAUGAACGUUGCUAGAAGAAACUGAUGAAAACCUGGGUGGAAGAACUCCCCUGCCAAUAACGAAAGCUCCAGAUUUGUAGCGGUCAAUUCUGUGUCCGCUUCUAUUUGGCCACUUGGUAAGUUGAUAUAUUCUUCAGAUGUUCCUAUUAUCAUCUGCAUUAUAAACCAAACUAUCUAUCCUACGAAACUGUUCAUCCUCCAAAAAAAUCAAGAGACAGCUAUGCAACUUUCAGAUCAAAACUGGCAAAAGGCUUACCCGCAUCCGCUUCUUGCUUCUCCCAGUCUCUACUACAACAUCAACUUUUUCUACAGACUAUUGGUUGUCCUCUUUUUCAGGAGAGACAUUCAAAAUUCGUACACCGCAUCCCUUUAUGCUCUCCUUGGGAAUAAACACAAAUUCCAAAUUGUUGUCUGAUUUAGAUGGAACGUCUAUAGGCGGGAACUUGAAGGAACCCAAAACCAUAUGAUCCGUAUUACACAACGUCAUCGUACCAUGAAAUACUGUCUCCCAAAUAUGUAGGAACUUCUCCACCUGGUAGGACCGUCUUGACGUAUGAUCGUAGGAUGAGUUCCUGCGCAUCUCCAUCCAAUUUGAAACAAUUAAGGAGAUAGAAAUAUUCUCUUCUCAUCAAGUCGGCCAUUUGAUGGCCGUGCUUGUUUAAAUUUACUGUCAAUGGUUUCUAGGAAAUGCGAAAGCGUUAAAGAAGCAACCACAAGGAUGUAAGAACAGAGUACUUCUGCCUUCAGCCUUCAGCUAAAGAAGAAAUUGCAAACAUUAUCAUGCUCUGGAGUUGGACUCUUUAACGGAUUCUGGUUUUUUUUAAGUAGUAACCCCUGCAGGAAAUUAUUGCUUUGAUAAGCCAAACUCCACUAAGAGCUUGAUGCGCUUGAUGAGCUUGAUGACCUGUCCAACAAGCAAGAAAAGAGUCAAUGUUGAGAGUUGAAAGUAUAUAUAGAGUCUCUAAUCUCUGAGAGGUUAUUCAAUUAGUGAAUUGGUGUGUUUGUUAAGACUCCUGCAUGAGUCUCUUGGGUUGAGGAUUCAGAGCCCGAAACUCUGCAAUUCUCUUCAUUGUGUGACAGAUUCUUUGAUAGAUCAAUAAAAGAUUGCUUGUUUAUUCUUGUCAAGCUUGUGUGAAAAACCUAUGAAAUCAUCUUUUCAUUAUCACUAUAGUCAUGGUCGAUCCCAAGUGAUCCUAUAACACAAAAAAAAAACAGAAUAGUAAGAUGUUUCAGUUACCAUAACUCCCACUCCCAAUCCACAUUAGCUAUAUGAAUUUGUGCAUCUUGUUGUUCAGUAAUCAUGGAAUCAACACACAAAGCUUCCCCCUCCAGCCAUGGAUUAAAAGAAACUGAUGAUGAUUCUCCCCACCCUAACGGAACAGUGUCUGUUACUAUUUGGCCACAGGGUAAGUUGAAAUAUUUUUCAGAGUUUCCUAAUGUCAUCUGUAUAAUAAACCAAAAGAUGGAUUCUUUUAGAUAGUUCAUCCCUGAAAAAAAACAAUCAAGAGAUAGCUUUAAUAGUUUUCAGUUCAAAAUAAUGGCAAAAGGCUUACCCGCAUCCGCUUCUUGCUACUUUCAGUCUCUACAUCAUCACAUUUUUCUCCAGACUGUUGGUGGUACUCUGUUACAGAGUCUCCAUCACUAUCAUCCGGAGAUUCUGUUUCAGAGCUUCCCUCACUAUCAUCCGGAGAUGUAGACACAUUCAAGAGUCGUAUGCCGCAUCUUUUUACUCUCGUCCCGUUAAACUUAAAUUCCACAUCAUUGACGUCUAAUUUAGAUAGAAGACCUGUAGGCUGGAACUUGAAGGAACACAAAACUAGAUGAUCCGUCUUACACAUCAUUUCCAUGCCCUCAUAUAUUGUAUGUCUAUAAUGUUCGCCAUUGAACUGAAAGAGUACGUCCAUGCAUGCAAAAGAAUGGGUUAUAGGUUCAACCACGAGACAAGCAUUAAAUCGCAAGAAUUUAUGAGAAAGAGAGCUCUGAGGCAAAGUGACAGUUAGGGAAUUUCCAUAAGCUUGAUGCUUAAAAUAUGUAGGCACUUCUCCACCUGGUAAGACCAUAGUCGUCUUGAAGCAUGAUCCUAGGAUAAGUUCUCGCGCAGCUCUAUCCAAUUUGAAGCAAUUCUGGAAUUUAAAAUAUAUUUCUCCAUACUCAUCCUCGUCAUCCUCAUCCUCGUCAUACUCAUACUCAUACUCAUCCUCGUCAUCCUCAUCCUUGUCACAUUUAGGUCUCUUUUCGACCUUAUUUAUCUUUUCAUUGUUUUGAUCUUCCAUUGUUGUCACCGGAUCACUCAACGCUGUGAUGACACCUCCACAGUCUGUAAAGUCGACCUUCAUAAGCCUUGUCAGUCUGAAAAUGUUCGGGGAUAUGUUUUUCAACAUUUUGCAACCACUCAUAUUUAGUACCUUGAGCCUCGAAAAUUUCUCAAUGAAGCAGGGAACUUGUUCAAUGGCGGUGUCAGCUAGAUUGAGUUCUUGAAUACUAGUUGAAAUCUGAGGAAAUCUUCUCAACGACUUGCAACCACGCAUCGAUAAUUCCAUGAGCCUCGAGAAAUUCUCAAAACAUGGAACUUCUUCAAUGGCAGUGUCAUCUAGAUUGAGUACUGCAAUACUUUUUGAAAUCUGAGGGAUAAAUCUCAAACUUGAGCACCCUUUGAGAUGGACUGUAUGGAGAGAUGACAAGUUGAUAUCCAUAGGAAGAACCUUCAGCCCUGUGCAUUCUUCCAUAUUUAACGUGUAUAAUUUUUGGAGAUUCCCAAUUGUAGAAGGUAACAUCACCAAACUUUUGCAAUUUGAGAGAUCCAAAAUCUCCAGAUUGGUGGCCUUUGAAAGGUCUGGAAUUUCUAUCAUGUUUUCACAUUCUGACAGAUCCACCCUCUUGAGUUUCCCAAGCGACUGAAACAGAGUAAAACAUUGUUAUGCUUUUCUUUUUUCUGAAUGUAAAACGUUGUUAUGCUUUAAUCAUUGUCAAUACUAUAUCUGUUUAGUGUUAUAAUCAAGAACAAGACAUAAUUUUGUAUAUAAUACACGUAUAAAUCGUACCUGGACGCCUUCCCAUAGCUUCUCAAGCAUGUUGUUGCCUCUCACUGUGAGGUUUUUGAGAUGUUCUGGGCGAAAUUUACUUGGAUUACAUCUCCUAAGGCAAUCGAGAUAAUCGAGUCCAGGGAGAUUCUUGUUCCAUAAACAAUCUGCUACCUCGAUCUCAAUUUCAUCUGUAAAGAUGAAACUUUGCAUUAUAAUCUCAGGGAAAUUUCUCAACCGGGGGCAUAGUAGGAGAUUGAGGAACUUAAGAGAUUCCGAGUUGAGAGGACUUGGAAAACUUUCUAGCACUUCGCAGUUACAAAGAUCUAAUUCCUCGAGGUUUGUGGCUAAAGAAAGAUCUGGAAUUUCUUUCAAAUUGUUGGAAUUCCUCAAAUUCAUCUUCUUGAGACUUCCAAGAGGCUGAAAACAACAUAUGGAAAAAGAGAAUAACACAGAUUUAUUUAGAUUGUUUAACAAAUAAAUUAAUAAAAAUAACACAGUUCUGUUUUCAAAUAGACAACUCGAAACAAUAAAGAAUUAGUACCUGAGUUCCAUUCCACAGCUUCUCAAGGGCACUAUUCUCCAUUCUGAGUUCAACCAGAUACUCAGCCUUAAAAUUAGAAGGCAAACGCUUCAAUGGACAAUUUUCCCACCGUAGCCAUUUGAGUUUACGUGGCAAGUAAACGAGGCCGUUAGGUAGACGCAAUCUGGUUUCUCUCGGUUGCCACCAGUAAUGAUCAUGAAUAUUUAGAAAUUGGAGAUUAAGCAUGCCUUGGAACGAGUUUUCAUCUAUUGAAAUAAAUGGCUUAUCGAUUUGUGAAUCUGAUGACGUGCUGAAAUCUAUUCCGAGCAAUUUUUCAGUGCCCUGACAAAAAAAAAAAACCCAAAGAAAACUGUUAUCCUCAAGUACCAAACUAAAUCAAUGUUUUUAACAUCAAAAGCCAAUCGUUGAAUUAAUAUAAAGUGGUGCAUUAAGCUGCAAAAACUUACGGUAUUAUCGGUAAAUACGUCUAGAAUUUCCUCAGCAUUCUCCAGAAAUCGACGUUUUCCAGGAUUACCAUUAGACUCUUCACGAUCAAUUUCUGUAGCCAACUUCUGAAGCAAAUUGUGCAUCUCUAUAGUAUCAUUCGGUGUUAAACGUAUGAGGGACUUAUCAUCCAACGUUUUGAGCCUAAUGUUAACAUUAACACCAUCUCCGAGGAAGUCUUUGAUGGAUUUGACUUUCCAACCAUUGAAUAACCAUGCAAUGUAAUGGAAUAUAUCUUGAUCUUUUGGAUCUAAUCUAACGUAGCUGACUCUUAAUGUUUUCAUAAUAUCUCUGUUCAAACCAUUUUGGAGCUCAGCCAGCAUCUCCAUCCACUCUUCUUUGCUCCUUCGUUUUAAAGACGAACCAAGGACACUGAGACCCAAAGGAAGAUUACCGGCAAGCUUUGCAACUUCAAAUGCUAGUUCCUUAAAAUCAUCAGGUGGAGAGUAUUUCCCAAAAGCAUAUUGGCAUAUCAUCUUAAGAGCAAGACCUUGAGAUGGGAGCUUCACCUCAUAUAUAAGGUCAAUCUCAUGAGCCUUGAGAAGUUGCCUAUCUUGAGUGAUCACAAUUAUUCUGCUUCCAGAUCCAAACCAUUCAGCUUUUCCCACCAAGGUCCUAAGAAACUCUAGAUUAUCCACAUCAUCAAGAAGGAUAAGAACUUUCUUGUGCUUCAACCUUUGCUCCACCACACCAAAAUGCUCUAUCUUUAUGUCCUUUUGACCUAAGAUUUCCGAGAGAAGUUCUUUUUCCCAACUCAACUUCAUGCCAGAGACGUCACUACCACUGGUGCUUUUAUAAGUUAUGAAAGCGCGAUGGUGGAACUGGCUAGAGAGUUGACUGAAAAGAGCUCUUCCUAUAGUACUCUUACCAAUCCCUGACUGUCCCCAAAUCCCGACCAUUAUUCUAGCUUCCUUGGAUUCCAAGCACAGUUUUAAUUUUAUUGCCUCUAUAUGAUCCUCAAUUCCGACUAAGUCACCAAAACCCUUUGGCAGAGGAAAAAGUUUAUUCGAAACAUCAUUAGCUAUCUUUACAACCAUGGCUGCUUCACUAGGCCUAAUAACAAUAGUCAAAAUUGUGUCAAUAAAGAGGCACCCCUAAAAGCACAAUCGAAGAUUCGAAGUGAACGCCAAGAAAAGAAAAAAAAAAGUACAGUUUUGCAAUAAUUAUAAACACUCAUAGAAAUAGUGGAAUAAAUAAAACAUACCCGUUCCGAAGAUCCUCCCCGGCUAAAUUUGAUAUAUCUGUGAGAGCUUUAACCCAUCUUUGUUUCUGAUCCUCUGGUUUGUCCUCGCAUGUCUUUUUAAAGACAUCGCCAAAGCCACCGAUCUGUUUUCUAACAUGAGAAGGAUCAACGCCGUAGAAAACCGGAAUCACCAUUUGAUCCAAGUCUUUGUCCUUGUGACACUUGUGGAUCUCCACCAAUUCAUUCAAGCACCACGUGGAAGAAGCAUAGUUCUCAGAGAAGAUAACUAUUGAGAUCCUCGCUUCUCUAAUGGCCGUUAUAAGCUCAUCGGCGAUUAUGCAGCUUCUCACGAUGCCGUGAUCCAUGAAUGUAUUGAUUGAUCUGCGGUCGAGCGCCUCGAUUAGAUGGCUGAGGAACGUUUUGCGAACAUCUACCCCACUGAAGCUUGGGAAAACGUCGUAUCUCCGGCUACUAGGAGAAGAAGAAGAAGAAGAAGAAGAUGAGCUCAGGGUCGUGGUGGAGGUCGGUGGUUGUGGCCAGUGGGUGGGAAGGGUGGAAGCUAGUUUGUAUGUAUGGGGCUGAGGUGGUGCUGAGUUAUGUUGUAAUCACUGUUUUUUACUCUGAGUGUAGGAAACGCCAUGGUAGCAGUGAUGCAAUUGUUGCUGAUGAGGUUGCUAUUUAAAACUUUUUUGUUGUUGAUAGUUCUCUUGUGAAAUUGUGAAAUACAUUUUUGUUUACCAAGAUUAUGAUUUAUUCAUUGCUUUAAAGAGAGGAAAAUAACAUUUCGUAGAGAGAGAUAUGUGUUUCAACAGACAAGACUGUUAUAUUCACAUCUUUCAGGAGAAGCGAAAUUUUCAAAGAAGCAAAACAGAGAAGUAAGAAUAGAGUACUUCUGUUCUGGACAUGGAACCAUAAAAGGUUUCUAGCUGUCAGUAAGUGUUCCAUCAUCUGCAGGAGAAAAUGGCUUGUGUGAAAAACUAAGAAAUCGUCUUGUCAUUACCAGUAUAGUCAUGGUCGAUCCCAUGUUCAUUAUGAAACAGAGUUGUAAUACGUUUCAGGUCACCUUAACAAUGUGAUAAGCUGUGGAGACGGCUAAGGAUCCAGGAAAGGAAUCUUAACAAUGUGAUGGUGUGAAUUCAGUCAAGGCAGAUCUUAACUGAUCAGGGUCAGCAGUGAAAGGUGUCGUCCCCAUCAGACCAAACGUCUAUCAUCUUAGGCCCUCGAUGCAAAGAUCUGAAGCAAACCAAUUCAGUCAAGAACAGCCCCAGAGAAUGAGCUUCCUAUCCUAGAUGUUCUAGUGAGUAGUUCAGGCCUACAACUUUCACUCUUUAUCAUAUAAUUAAAGAGUGCAGCGGGAUGGGGGAACAGCAGCGACAUGUUUUCUCAUCGACGUAGGAUAGCUGGAUGAUACUUCAUGGUUUGGAAGUGGACCAGACAAUGUCUCCUGCAGAAAGUUUAAAAGCUCUUUCCUUCAGCUGAUGGAUUGUUCCUUAUGCUGGUCACAUCUUUGGCCAAAGUUAGGCCAAAAACGCUUCUGCCUUUUGGCUAUUGAAUCAGCAAUGCAAAUGUUGUUGAUGACAAGGAUCUUGCUAUUUAAAAUUAGUUCCAACACACUCUUGUUGUCAAUUCUUUUGUGAAUUUGCGAUAUACAUUUUUGUUUACGCAAAGUCUGAUUUCUCUAUUCAUUGCUAAUAAAGAGAAAAACAACCUGUGCUAAUAUACACAUUGAGAUCUAUGUUUCAAAGAAAAGGCAGACAAAAUGUUCAAAGCAAACAGAGUGUUUCUGCAUUCAGAUAAAGAAGAAAUUACAAACACUUUCAGGCUCCGGAGUUGGAUGAUUAAACGGAAUUUGGUUCUCCAAAUAUCAUUCUGCAGAAUAAAAUGAUCUCCAUGUACCAUCUAUCAAUAAAAAAUGGCUUGUGUCAAAACCUAUGAAAUCGUCUUGUUAUCAUUAUAGAUAUAUAAUCAUGGUCGAUCCCAAGUUAUCCUAAAACAGACCAAAACAGAAUGAUAAGAUGCUUCAGUUACCAGAAACAGGAUCCAAGAAAGGAAUGUCUUCAUCUUGUUCUUUAGUUAUCAUAUAAUCAACAGACAAAGCUUCCCCCUCUAGAGAUGUUGAUGAUGAUGCUUCUCCCUCCCCUAACGAAAGCUCCAUAUUUAGAGCGGCCAAUCCUGUGUCUGCUACAAUUUGGUCACCGGCUAAGUUGAUAUAUUCUUCAGAUGUUCCCGAUGUCAUCUGCAUUAUAAAUCAAACGAUCGAUUCUAUUAAAUAGUCUGUCUCUAUGGUAUUUCGAUCCUGGAAAAUCAAAUCAAAAGUCAAAAUAUAGCUUUAUAAUUUUCAGCUCUAAUCAAAAGUCAAAAGAUACCCGCAUCCGCUUCUUGCUUCUCGUAGUCUGUUGGUUGUACUCUGUUUCUUGAGAGACAUACAUGAGUCGUACACCGCAUUCUUUGAUCCUAUUGGAGCAACAAAACUUAAACUCCACAUCGUUGAAAGUCAUUUCAGACUCGAACUUGAAGGAACAGAAAAACAGAUGAUCCGUCUUACAAAACUCCAGUUCUUCAUCUUCCAAAAAUGAUUUCUGAUACUGUUUGCCAUUGAAGCCAAAGUUUACCUCCAAAUAUCGAUAAAAACCCUUGCCCUCGGAGAGAGGGUCAACCACGAGACAAGCCUUAAAUCGCAAGAAGGAUUGAGAAAGAGAGCUCCGAGGUAAAGUGACAGUUAGGGAAUCUCCAUAAGCUCGAUACGUGAAAUACUUAGGGAUUUCUCCACCUGGUAAGGCCACAGGCUUGAAGCAUGAUCGUAGGAUGAGCUCUCGCGCAUCUCUAUCCAAUUUGAAGCAAUUACGGAAGCUAAAAUAUUCAGUACCUAAGUCCCAAUCACCAUCACCAUACAACUCACCCCAGAAACGUUCACAUGUAUAUUCAAUGUUUUCAGAUAAUGGUACACAAGAAACGCUAUCUUCCAUUGUCGCUACCACAGUUGCAUCACUCAACGCCUUGAUGACACCUCUACAGUCUGUAAAGUCGGCGAACAUUAGACUUCUCAGUCUGAAAAUGUUUGGGGAGAUGUUUUUCAACCUCUGGCAACAAUACAUCAGUAGUACACGGAGCCUCGUGAAAUCCUCAAUGCAGCAGGGAACUUCUCCAAUGGCGGUGUUUUCCAGAUAGAGCCAUACAAUAUUAGUUGAAAUCAGAGGAAAAGUUCUCAAACUUGAGCAACCACUGAGAUCGAGGAUACCCAGAGAUGACAAGUUGACAUCGGUUGGAAGAACCUCCAGCCCUGUGCAUCUUUUCAUGUACAAACGUCUCAAAUUUUGAAGAUUCCCAAUUGUAGAAGGAAGUGUCACCAAACUUUUGCAGUUGUUGAGUAUCAAAGACUCGAGCUUGGUGGCCUUUGAAAGAUCUAGAAUUUCUUCAAUGGCGGUGUUUUCCAGAUAGAGCCAUUUGAUACUCUUUGAAAUCAGAGGAAAAGUUCUCAAACUUGAGCAACCACUGAGAUCGAGGGUUUCGAGAGAUGACAAGUUGACAUCGGUUGGAAGAACCUCCAGCCCUGUGCAUUCUUUCAUUUCCAACCUCACCAAUUUUUGGAGAUUCCCAAUAGUAGAAGGAAGUGUCACCAAACUUUUGCAGUUGUUGAGAUAUAAAUGCUUCAGAUUGGUGGCCUUUGAAAGAUCUGGAAUUUCUGUCAGGUUUUCAGAUUCUGACAGAUCCAUCUCUUCGAGACUUCCAAGCGACUGAAAAAAACAUUAUCGAUGAUAAUCAUUUUAAUUUUAUACCUAUAUAUGUUUAAAAUUAUAAUUAAACAUUAUUACGUAUGUAUGUAAGACAUAACCGUGGAUCGACCACAAGCCAUAAAAACAAAUUUGGGUAUACUUAAUUAGUUAUAUAACAGAAGGUAAACAAAAAUCAGCAUAGCAUUAACAAUGUACCUGGAUGCCUUCCCAUAGCUUCUCAUGCUUGUAGCACCUCACAUUGAGAAAAACGAGAUAUUCUGGGCGAAAUUCACAAGGCAUACAUCUCAUAAGGCAGUCGAGAUAAUCUAGUCCAGCAGGGAGAUUCUUGUUCCAGAAACAAUCUUCUACCACGAUCUCAUUUCUCCCUUCCGGAAAGUCAACGUCUGAACAUCCCAUUUUGAUUGCUGGGAAAUUUCUCAAAUUCGGGCAUCCAGUGAGAUUGAGGUACUCGAGAGAUUCCAAGUUGAGAUCGGUUGGAAAACUCUCUAGCUUUUUGCAAUCACUAAUAUCUAAAUAGAUAAGUUUAAUGGCAUUCUGCAUCGAGGAAGGAAAUGUCACCAAGGAUUCGCAUUUACAAAUAUCUACUUCCUCGAGGUUUAUGGCUAAAGAAAGAUCUGGAAUCUCUUUCAAAUAUUUGGAACCACGCAGAAACAUCUGCUUGAGUCUUCCAAGUGGCUAAUAACAAAAUAGGGGAAAAGAGAGUACACACGUUAGUGAACAUUUUAAACAGAUUCAUUUUAGUUUUUCUAACAGAUUUAUGUUUAGAAAUUGAUCACUAAUAGAAUUAGUACCUGAGUUCCAUCCCACAGCUUCUCAAGGUCACUAUUCUCCAUUCUGAGUUUAACCAGAUACUCAACCUUAAAAUUAGAAUGCAAACGCUUCAAUGGACAAUUAUUCCACAAUAGCAAUCUGAGUUUACUAGGGAAAUAAACGAUGCCCUGAGUGCCUUCCACACGUGAGCAAUCAACUGAUAGAUAUUCGAGAUUACACAUGCCUUCUAAUGAUUUUAAAUCUAUUAAUAUCACCCCCGAACAAUGUAACUUCCUCAGUUUAAUGGCAUUCUGAAUCGAGGAAGGAAGUGUCACCAAAGAUUCGCAUCCUUCAAGAUCUAAUUCCUCGAGGUUUCUGGCAUUAGAAAGAUCUGGAAUUUCUUUCAAAUUUUUGGAACACAACAAAUUCAUCUUCUUGAGACUUCCAAGGGGCUGAAAACAAAAUAUGGAAAAAGAGAAUACACACGUUCACAAAUAUACCACAAUUUUCUGUUCUAAAAACUGACAACUAAUAAAAAUUUAGAAUUCGUACCAGAGUUCCUUCCCACAGUUUCUCAAGCUUACUAUACUUCAUUAUGAGGUUAACUAGAUAUUCCGCCUUAAAAGUAGAUGGCAAAGACUUCAAUGGACAAUCAUCCCAGUCUAGCAAUCUGAGUUUAAGGGGCAAAUAAACGAGGCUCUGAGGUUGACCCCCAUCUGACCAAUCACCAAUUUUUAGAUAUUGGAGAUUACGCAUGCCUUUGAACGAUUCUUUAUCUAUUAAUAACGGCCUUGUCGAAAAAUAUUCCUCGAAUGGCAAACGUAUUCCAAGAAGAGUUUCUGUCCCCUGAAAAAAAAUCCGAAGAAAACUAAUAUAAUCUUAACAAUCACAACCCUUUUUAUUUUUCUGACACAUCAAAGCUACAUUUUAAUUACGAAUGAGGCAACAAUUGCUUAAGUUUAUCAAUCCCCAAAUGACGAUUAAAUUAAUAUAAAGUCAUGCAUUAAAACGGAGCUGCGAAAAAAACUUACAGUUUUCUCGGUCACUACUUCAUGAAUAUCCUCAAAAUUCGUCAGAAAUUGACGUUUUCCAGGAUUACCCUUGGACUUUGCACGAUCAAUUUCUCUACCCAAUUUCUCUAGCAAAUUGUGCAUCUCUAUAUGUCCAUCCGGUGUAAUACGUAUGAGGGACUUCUCAGACAACAUUGUAAGCCCAACAUUAUCUUCAAGUAAAUCUUUGACGUAACUGACCUCAAAACCAUUGAAUAAACACGCAAUGCAAAGGAACAUAUCUUGAUCUUUUUGAUGUAAUCUAUCGUAGCUGACUCUUAAUGUUUUCAUAAUAUCUCCGUUCAAACCAUUUCGGAGCCUAGGCAUCAUCUCCAUCCACUCUUUUUUGCCCCUUCUUCUUAAUGACGAACCCAGGACAUUGAGACCCAAAGGAAGAUGGCCGGCAAGCUUCGCAACUUCAAAUGCUAGUUCCUUAAAAUCAUCAGGUGGAGAGUCUUUCCCAAAAGCAGAUCGGCAUAACAUCGUAAGAGCAAGACCUUGAGAUGGCAGCUUCACCUCAUAUACAAGGUCAAUGUCAUGAGCCUUGAGAAAUUGCCUAUCUUGAGUGAUCACAAUAAUUCUGCUUCCCGAUCCAAACCAUUCAGCUUUUCCCACCAAGGUCUUAAGAAACUCUAGAUUAUCCACAUCAUCAAGAAGGAUAAGAACUUUCUUGUGCUUCAACCUUUGCUCCACCACACCAAAAUGCUCUAUCUUUAUGUCCUUUUGACCUAAGAUUUCAGAGAGAAGUUCUUUUUCCCAACUCAACUUCAUGCCAGAGACGUCACUACCACUGGUGCUUUUAUAAGUUAGGAAAGCGCGAAGGGGGAAUUGGAUAGAGAGUUGACUGAAAAGAGCUCUUCCUAUGGUACUCUUACCAAUCCCUGAUUGUCCCCAAAUCCCGACCAUUCUAGCUUCCUUGGAUUCCAAGCACAAUACUGAUUUUAUUGCCUCAAUAUGAGCUUCAAUUCCGACGAAGUCAUCAAAACACUUUGACCGAGUGAUAAGUUUAUUCGAAACAUCAUUGGAUAUCUUUUCAACCAUAUGCGCUUCAUUAGGCCUAAUAACAAAAGUCAAUUUUGUCAAUUAAGAAGCACCCCUAAAAGAAGAACCGAAGUCUAUGCAAAAAUAUAGUUCUGAGACAAUUGAAAACGCAAGCAGAUAUAUUGGAAUCAUAACAACGUACCCGUUCAGAAGAUCCUCUCCGGCUAUAUUUGCUAUAUCUGUGAGAGCUUGCACCCAUCUUUGUUUCUGAUCCCCUGGUUGUUUGUCCUUGCUGACCUCGCAUGUCUUUUCAAAGACCUUUCCAAAUUCGCCGGUCUGUUUUCUAACUUCCGAAGGAUCAACGUCGUAGAAAACUGGAAUCACCAUUUGACCUAAAUCAUUAAAGCACUUGUGGAUCUCAACCAAUUCAUUUAAGCACCACGUUGAAGAAGCAUAGUUCUUAGAGAAGAUGACGAUUGAGAUCCUAGCUUCUCUAAUCGCCGAUAUAAGCUCAGGGGCGAUUGUGCGGCUUCUCUCGAUUCCAUGAUCGAUGAAUGUAUUGAUUGAUUUGCCGUCGAGCGCCUCGAUUAGAUGGCUGAGGAACGUCUUGCGAACAUCAACCCCACUGAAGCUUGGAAAAACGUCGUAUCUCCGUCUGCCAGAAGAAGAAGAAGCCGCCAUGGGAGAUGAUAGAGAGAACUCAGAGAAGAGACGAAGAUUUUUAAGAGAAGUAAAUCAGCAAGACAUAGUGUGAGAAAGAGAGGAGAAACUUCGUCUUCCUUCCCUCCAAGACUUGCAUAGAAGACUUACUGUACAAGAUAUUCUUUUAAGUGGCUAAAAUCAAAUCUCCUAACAAGACAAUUGAGACGUAAAUAAUAAAGAAACUCGGCCCUUCCUUUCCUCGAAAGCUUUUUUACACUACAUACAAAGAUAUUUUUGAAGAUUGAAUUUUUGUGGUUGUCACUGAAUUAUGAUAAGUCUUAGUCUUUGUACAAGACAGAAAUAAUAUUUCAAUUUCUAGGCAAGUAGACAGAAACUUACAUUCGUUUCCUCUACAAAGAUAUUUUGAAAACACAAAUUUUGUGGUUAUCAGUUGUCCUUGUACAAGACAGUUUAUCGUAAGAAUGUUAUGAUUGUUUAAUAUCUAAGUCUUGUUUCCCUAUACAUACAUGCACACGGUUUAGGAGAAUAAGUAUAUCGAUUAUGAGGAUUUUAAUUCAAAUAAUACAGUGAAAAUACUAAUUAACACUAACUCUCUAGUUUGCUAAAUUACUCUUUUAGUUUUCAAGAAUUGUAUUAUUAGUUUAAAGUUUGGCUUAGUGCGUCAGCCACCACUGUAGUUUUAAGGAGCAUUUGGUUUCUAAGGGUUUCAUGUACUGGAUGGAAGAACUCGUGUCUGAGAACAUCCUCUGCGCUGUUUCGUUGCCUUGGGUUAACGGUCAAACAUCUAUCCACGAAGUCAAGGAGCGGCCGUGGAAUUGCGUCUAGAAACUCUCUGCGUUUGUGUUGAGUUCACACCAUUUUCUCAACUCCAGCCCCUUGAAGUACCUUGACUCGUACAAUUCCUGAAACAACAACACAAAACUCUACGUGAAUUCAUCUCACACGAUCAUCUAUCUAAUCAUUUUGUCACUAAUUUACAUUUUAAAGAUAUAUAAUGCUAACGAUGAAAACCCUUUUGUGAUAUUUGAAUCCAUAUGCUGGUGGCAAAGAAGAACAGAGCAUGUAUGUUAUAUUCAAACCAAUGCAGCAAUCAAAUAAAUGGAGAGUUUUAUCAGGGAGGUAAGAUGAGAUGUAACCUCAGGGAAAGAGGAUUCACGGUUGUGCAGCUUGGCUACUUCCCAUAAUUCUUCACUGCCUCGUAGUUGCGCAAUGCCCUUUAUGUUCCUGGGAAUGACAAGGUCGUUGUAAGACGGCAAGAAAGAAAAAAGAGUGGAAUCGACUGAUGGUGUAUUAUUUUUUUUUUCUAUUAUUAGGUAAUUGGUACAAUAUCUGAAGCAAACCUGCACAAACCAAUUCAGCUAAAAUAAGCACCAGAGAAAUUAGCUUUCACAUCCUAAAUGUGAUAAUGACUAGUUCACUCCUACAAUUGUAGUCUCAGCUCUCAAUGCACAAGUUUAUUAUAUAUGGAAUUAAUUACUAACAUACACAUUGAGAUGUAUCUGUGUUUUUAGAAAAGUCAGGACUAAUUUAAAAACAUUAACUAAUUCAAUGUCUUUUAAACUUAUCCAUAGAUGUAAGGAAACAUACAAAAUCUGUCAAAAAUACUUUUCCAGAAUGAGCUAAAUUGUGGCUUUCAAAACAUGUAUUUAUACGAAAGCCUUAGAGAAGUAGAUACAAAGAUGUAAGAACAGAGUACCAUGCUCUAGAGUUGGAGACUUAAAAAGGCACCAGCGACGAAGAGCUUGAUGAGCCUGAUGAGCCUGAUGACCUAUAAAAGAAGAAAGAACAGAGUCAAAGAGUCAACAUUAUAACUAAAUAUUGAGUCUUUAAAGUAUAUAUAUAUAGAGAGAGAGUCUCUAAUUCUGUGAGAGAUUGAUUAUCCAAUCAGUGAAUUGGUGUGUUUCAGAGCCUGAAACUCUGCAGUUCUCUUCAUUAUAAUUCAGGUUAUUUGAUAGAUCAAUAAAGAUUGCUUGUCUUGUUAUGCUGCAACAAAACAAAACAGAAUAGUAAGAUGUUUCAGUUACCAUGAUGCCUCAGAAUCUUCGUCCCUAUGCGCGAUGGGAAUUUCUUUAGCUUGUCGCUUAGUUAUCAUGGAAUCAACAGAGAAAGCUUCACCCUCCAGACAUGGAUAUGAAAUUGAUGACGAUUCUCCCCGCCCUAAUGGAAGCUCCAGAUUUGGAGCGGUCAAUCCUGUGUCUGUUACUGUUUGGCCACAGGGUAAGUUGAAAUCUUCUUCAGAGUUUCCUAAUGUCAUCUGUAUAAUAAACCAAACUAUCGAUUCUUUUAGAUAGUGGCCUUCCUGAAAUAUUAAAAAGAAAAUCGAGAGAUAGCUUUAAUAGUUUUCAGUUCAAAUUAUGGCAAAAGACUUACCCGCAUCCGCUUCUUGCUACUACUCUCAGUCUCUACAGCAUCACAUUUUUCUCCAGACUGUUGGUUGUACUCUGCUUUAGAGCUUCCAUCACUAUCAUCCGGAUAUGGAGACACAUGCAGGAGUUGUACGCCGCAUCCUUUGAUCCUCCUCCCUUUAAACUUGAAUUCCACAUUAUCCAAGACCUUUACCUUUGGAUAUAGAGUAUUUUUAAACUGCCGGAACUUGAAGGAACACAAAACCAGAUGAUCCGUCUUACACAUCAGUGUCAUAUCAGUAGCUAUUGUAUGGAUAUAAUGUUCGCCUUUGUAUUGGAAGUAUACAUACACACUCCCAUAAGAAUCGGUUUGAGGUUCAACCACUACACAAGCAUUGAAUCGCAAAAAUUUGUGAGAGAGAGAUCUCCGAGGUAAAGUGAUAUUUACGGAAUUUCCAUAUGCUCGAUGCUUGAAAUAUGCAGGCACUUCUCCACCUGGUAAAACCAUAGUCUUCUUGAAGCAUGAACGUAGGAUGAGUUCUCGUGCAUCUCUAUCCAAUUUGAAGCAAUUCUGGAAGUUAAAAUAGUUUCUUCCAUACCAAUAAUUAUCUUCAUCCUCAUCCUCCUCCUCAUCAUCCUCCUCCUCAUCCUCGUCCUCAUCCUCAUCAUCGUCAUCGUCAUCUUCAUCCUCCUCAUCCUCAUCCUCAUCCUCAUCCUCGACAUCGGUAUUCUCGUUAUACUCAUCCUCAUCCUCAUUCUUGUCAUAACUCAUCCUCAUUCUCGUCAUCCUCAUUAUAGUCAUCCUCAACAUCAUCGUCUCGUGUACGCAUCUUUUCAAUCUUUUCAUAGUGAUCAUCCAUUGUUGCCACCACAGUGGAAUCACUCAACGCCGAAAUGACACCUCCACAGUCUGUAAAGUCGACCUUCUUAAGCCAAGUCAGUCUGAAAAUGUUCGGGGAGAUGUUUUUCAACUUUUUGCAACCACUCAUAUUUAGUAUCUUGAGCUUCGAAAAAUUCUCAAUGAAGCAAGGAACUUGUUCAAUGGCGGUGUCAGCUAGAUUGAGUUCUUGAAUACUAGUUGAAAUCUGAGGAAAUCUUCUCAACGACUUGCAACCACGCAUCGAUAAUACAAUGAGCCUCGAGAAAUUCUCAAAACAUGGAACUUCUUCAAUGGCAGUGUCAUCUAGAUUGAGUACAGCAAUACUUUUUGAAAUUUGAGGGAAAAAUCUCAAACUUGAGCACCCUUUGAGAUUGACUGUAUGGAGAGAUGACAAGUUGACAUCCAUAGGAAGAACCUUCAGCCCUGUGCAUUCUUUCAUUUCUAACGUGUAUAGUUUUUGGUGAUUCCCAAUUGUAGAAGGUAACGUCACCAAACUUUUGCAAUUUGAGAGGUUCAAAUUCACCAGAUUGGUGGCCUUUGAAAGAUCUGGAAUUUCUAUCAGGUUUUCACAUUCUGACAGAUCCAUCCUCUCAAGUUUCCCAAGGGACUGAAACAGAGUAAAACAUUGUUAUGCUUUUCUUUUUUUUAAUGUAAAACGUUGUUAUGCUUUAAUCAUUGUUGAUACUAUAUCCGUUUAGUGUUAUAAUCAAGAACAAGACAUAAUGUUGUAUAUAUUACACGUAUAAAAAUCGUACCUGGACGCCUUCCCAUAGCUUCUCAAGCAUGUUGUUGCCUCUCAGUUUGAGAUUAACGAGAUGUUCUGGUAGAAAUUUACUUGGAUUACAUCUCCUAAGGCAAUCGAGAUAAUCUAGUCCAGGGAGACUCUUGUUCCAUAAACAAUCUGCUACGUCGAUGUCAAUUCCAUAUGGGGAAAUUUGCAUUAUAGUCUCAGGGAAAUUUCUCAACUUGGGGCAUCGUAGGAGAUCGAGGUACUCGAGAGAUUCCGAGUUGAGAGGACUUGGAAAACUUUCUAGCACUUCGCAAUCAGAAAUAUCUAAUCUCUCGAGGUUCAUGGCAUAAGAAAGAUCUGGAAUUUCUUUCAAAUAUUUGGAAUUACGCAGAAUCAUCUUCUUUAGGCUUCCAAGUAGCUGAAAACAAGGAAAGAGAGAAUAACACACAUUUAUAAACAUUUCAAACAGAUUUAUUUAGAUUGUUUAACAAAUAAAUUAAUAAAAAUAACACACUUCUGUUUUCAAAUAGACAACUAAAACAAUAAAGAAUUAGUACCUGAGUUCCAUUCCACAGCUUCUCAAGGUCACUAUUCACCAUUCUGAGUUCAACCAGAUACUCAGCCUUAAAAUUAGAAGGCAAACGCUUCAAUGGACAAUUAUCCCACCAUAGCCAUUUGAGUUUACGUGGCAAGUAAACGAGGCCGUUAGGUAGACGCAUUCUGGUUUCUCUCGGUUGCCACCAUGAAUGAUCAUGAAUUUUUAGAUAUUGGAGAUUAAGCAUGCCUUGGAACGAGUUUUCAUCUAUUGAAAUAAAUGGCUUAUCUAUUUGUGAAUCUGAUGACGCGCUGAAAUGUAUUCCGAGCAAUUUUUCAGUCCCCUGACAAAAACAAAUCCCCAAAGAAAACUAUUAUCCUCAAGUACCAAACUAAAUCAGUUUUUUUCUGUCCUUUUUAACAUCAAAAGCCAAUCGGUGAAUUAAUAUAAAGUGGUGCAUUAAGCUGCAAAAACUUACGGUAUUAUCGGUAAAUACGUCUAGAAUUUCCUCAGCAUUCUCCAGAAAUCGACGUUUUCCAGGAUUACCAUUAGACUCUUCACGAUCAAUUUCUGUAGCCAACUUCUGAAGCAAAUUGUGCAUCUCUAUAGUAUCAUUCGGUGUUAAACGUAUGAGGGACUUAUCAUCCAACGUUUUGAGCCUAAUGUUAACAUUAACACCAUCUCCGAGGAAGUCUUUGAUGGAUUUGACUUUCCAACCAUUGAAUAACCAUGCAAUGUAAUGGAAUAUAUCUUGAUCUUUUGGAUCUAAUCUAACGUAGCUGACUCUUAAUGUUUUCAUAAUAUCUCUGUUCAAACCAUUUUGGAGCUCAGCCAGCAUCUCCAUCCACUCUUCUUUGCUCCUUCGUUUUAAAGACGAACCAAGGACACUGAGACCCAAAGGAAGAUUACCGGCAAGCUUUGCAACUUCAAAUGCUAGUUCCUUAAAAUCAUCAGGUGGAGAGUAUUUCCCAAAAGCAUAUUGGCAUAUCAUCUUAAGAGCAAGACCUUGAGAUGGGAGCUUCACCUCAUAUAUAAGGUCAAUCUCAUGAGCCUUGAGAAGUUGCCUAUCUUGAGUGAUCACAAUUAUUCUGCUUCCAGAUCCAAACCAUUCAGCUUUUCC
rnacentral:lncRNA from 1 species